rnacentral:lncRNA from 1 species
CCGAGCUCAGUCACGAGAGCUUGUGACCCAUGUGGGGGCAUCAAGGUGGUGUGGAUGUUUGGUGCGGAUUCUCGGCCUGGGCCUGUGGUGUGACUUUGCCGGCUUGCCCGUUCCAAGUUGGUAGUGGGCUGGGUUGCUUGGGCGAAAGCCUCGGCCUCUCAGGCCCUGAAGCGGCAGGCACCACGUUAGGCUGGUUUCACAGAGCAGCGUUUACUGCCCGCUUCCAACGGUGGAAGGAUAACUGGCCGCUGCACCAUGGGCCCAUUCUGGCCUAGGGUCCCUACAUGACAGACCACUAUCUUUUUAGUAAAAAUAUUAUUUAAUUUUCAUAUGAUGUAUUCACUUCUUACAAAAAUCUUUCAAUUAAUUUAAUUUUUUCUAAAUAUUCUUACAAAAAUCUUUCAAUUAAAUUAAUUUUUCUAAAUACUGUAUUCUUUUUUUAAAAUCUCUACCUCAUUUUAUACUAAUCCUAAAUUUUCUCCCUCUAUAAUAGAUCACCAUCUUUUUAGUAAUUAAAUAAAUGGUUUAAUUUUCAUAUGAUGUAUUCACUUCUUGCAAAUCUUUCAAUUAAAUUAAUUUUUCUACAUAUUGUAUUUAUUUUUUAAAAUCGCUACCUCAUUUUACACUAAUCCUAAAUUUUCUCCCUCUAUAAUAGACCACCAUCUUUUAGUAAUUAAAUAAAUCAUUUAAUUUUCAUAUGAUGUAUUCACUUCUUUAAAAUCUUUCAAUUAAAUAAAUUGUUUAAUUUUCAUAUACUGUAUUCACUUUUAAAAUAUCUUUCAAAUAAAUAAUUCCUUUAAUUUCUUAUAUUGUAUUUUUUUAAUUUGCUACCCAUGCUCAAAGUUCUCCUGUGUAUGUUUCUCAUUUAAUAAUACAUUUAAAAUUAAGAAAACAUUUAAAAACUGUCGGAUGAUUCUUGGGCUUCGUCAUCUGCGCCCGACGCCGUGUGAUUGCACACGAUCGUGUGGCGUGCAACGUCUGUCUUUUCCCACUGAACACCUAUGAGGCCUGAAGUUGUGACUGAUUAACAAUUUCUUUUUUACUUGCACUUCACACGUAGUGCUCAGCACGUGCCUACACAUGUAGGUGAUGCUACAAAACAAUUUCAAGAGGAAGGACAUAGCAAGCGCCAAACAAGGAUCCGAGAACACCAUAUUUUCACGUUGAUUGCGGGAGUUUGUUGAAUUUUGGUACCAGCAAGCACAUGGAGUCAUGAUUUGCUCGGAUAUAGCAAUGAUGCCUUUGUCGUCAUUGUGGCCGUCAAAAACAUAAAUACCAUCGCAACAUCAUCGAUGCAGCUGUGUUGUUGUUGUAGCAUUGUUAAGACAGUCAUGUCAUCGUCGCAACACUGCUACGACUAGGAAGCACGCCAUCGUAGCAUCGUCAAAGCAAUCAGGCUUUCGUCGGAGCAUCACCUGAUGAAGCACAAACCAGCGAGAUGCUAUAUUCGUGCGUGUAGAUGGCCCGAUCUUUCACGGCGAUGCUUGAUCAACAGUUCGUCCCCUUGUUCCUCCUCGCAACCUCCAAGAUAAUUUCAUCCGCGCACGAAAAUAUGCGAAUAAAAAAAUGAUCCCCUCGGAUCAGCACGUAGUCGUUGAUAUGAUGAUCAACCCUCCGUUGCUAGUAAAUUUCCACGAUAAGAAAAUCACAGAUAAUACACACGAUCUUGCCGCCCUUGAUUCGGACGUUUUCUGUACAUUUUCAUCUCAAAACUAAACUCGUCCAUACGUAGAACAAACCUUGGCUAUUAUAUAGCCGAUUGACCCUCGCGUACGCACAUGGCCUAAGGACAAGACAACUUGGACUCCUAGCAACUUGGUUAUCACGUUUAUAAUCACGUGAACCUUUACAAGGAAAAGUACUACUCUUGUAAAUAAUUAAAGGACUACCCAAAGAGAUAGAGGCCUAAUUAAAUAAAACAUGAAAAGUUAUCCUUGCCGUUUCCAUCAAAUAUAUCUGCGUGCGUACAGUUCAAAAAGGAAGCUGCCGAUCCUAAUCUUCUCUGGAGGUGUACGAAACGUGGGAACUAUAUCAUCCGGCUUCGGUUCUUUAUCUGCAUGCAAUCUGGAAAAUACUCUUCUAUGUAUUGGGACACGCUCUGUAUGAUGAGCAGCAACAUGUACUGAUUCCCUUUCAAAUACAGAAGCGAUUCCGGGUCCACAAAGCUGACGCACACGACCAUUGUUUCCUCGACAAAAUCUGACCACAUGCAUGGCAAUAAUUUUCGCAACUUUUUCAUGGCUUGACUCAUUCACUGGCUCAACUUUAGUAGGAUUAUCGAUCAAGGGUGCCAUGCACUUAUCAUCCUCCCUCCGUUGAAGUGAAACCGUCCUUGGUUUUUAGUCUAAUUUUUGUACAACCUUCCUCUCUGAAACUUGCAUCUCUAUGGUGAUUGCACUGCCUGCCAUUGGUUUCAGCACAUGCUUCCUUCCAUCAUGCAUGAAUUUGUACAGGGCCGGUCCAUAGAUAUUCAGGGCCCUGAGGCGAGAUGACAAAAUGGGGCCCUUGUCGACAAAUAAAAAUUCAGAAUAUAUUGUAUUUUGAAAACAAUUUAGUACAUCGUAUAGAUUGAUGGUCUUUGAACUAAAACCACAAGGGAGGUGAAAAAAACACAUGCCACCAAAAUAAAAAUGGGGCCCUUGUGGUGAAUAUGCCACAAGGGAGGUGAAUAUAAUGUAUUGACAAGGAAGUGAAAAAGACACACGCCACAAAUUAUUUAUUUGUAACGGUCCAGAGAACUACAUCGUAAUAGUAUGGAAACAACAUAAUUCUACAAAAGAUCGCUCUUGUAAGUGGCACAAAGAGACUAGCAUCUCGCUCUUCUAAUUAUGAAAACCUUGUCAAAACUGAUAGCAACUUGGAGAGUUUGUGUUAUCAUGCGAACUUACAUUAGUUUCUAUCUCUCUAAUCUGUUCGUCACUUGAUGUCUUCACGCGAAGAAAACGUAUCCAAAGCUUCCAUCAUAUGAUGAUCAGAUCUUGUUGUUUCUCCUAACACUUCUGGAAGAAAAGUCAUCAAUAAUCACAUCAGUAUUUAUUUCAUUCAACAUUUCUUUCUCAAUGCAUAAAGUAGCCAGACCAUUCAAUCUUUCCUGUGACAUUGAUGAUCUCAAAUAGUUUCCCAAUAACUUCAACUUUGAGAAACUGCGUUCAGCUGAUGCUACAGUGACUGCUACAGUAAAUAAAAUUCGAUAAGUUAUUAGUAUAUUUGAAAAGGGAGGUGAAUAAAAAUGUGAACUAAAAUGGGGCCCUUGUGAACAAAUAAAAAUUCAGAAUAAAUUGUUUUUUCACUUCUUUUUCCCACUGAUUAACUUUUUUUAAAAGACAUAUCACCAAACAAUUGCAGAAAAACAGUCAAUACUAGGGGCAAAAGCACCUGAAUAUGCGAAAGUGCUAUUCUGAGCCCGAGCUCAUAUGCACCUGUUAUCCUGACCAUUCCUCGGCGUCAAGAUUCGCUCCAGAGUGUGUAUUUCACAGUGUAUUCUCAGCAGUAUUGCAUGCUUUUUCAGAGGAUAGGGCCCACCCACCUAGCGCAUCUAUUUUAACGGCCAUCUCCCCCGCCGCCACCCCCCUCCUCCCGUUACAUGGCUCAGAUGCACACUACCGAAGUGAGCCACGGAUCAGUCGUUACCUAACAAACGGACGUCCCCUUCCCCCUGUUUUUUAUUAAGCCCAACGGCUUGCUCUGGAAGAUUCACCCACCUACCCCCCAAGCUUAUGCUCUUGUCUUCCUGUUCUAGCGAACAAACCGGCGACCAUGGAGUCUUCUUCUUCCUCCUCGCAGCACGAGGGAGUGCUUCCACUGAUCCCUUGCCCCGACUGCAAAGAGAAGGUGGUCACCUACAUGUCUCGCGCCGGAGCUCGCUUCUACAAGUGCGUCAGGAAAGAUGUAAGCACCCAUCCGUACUGAAGAACAAUCAUCUUUUCGAUUGAUUCAUCCUCUGUUCCUGAGUUUCGAUUGAAUCCAGGCUGGACUAUGCGGCUUCAUUAGAUCUACGGACACGUACCUGCCGGAGCUGACCAGAGCUGGGCUCAGCCAGCCUUACGCGCUUCACGCCGCCAUUGCUAGGCACUCGGGCUCUCCGCUUCAGCAGAGGUACAGGCGGGCCGACAACAUUGAAGACCGGAUGCAGCCAGAGAUCCAGCCAGCACAAGUGCACAUGGAGGCGCAGGUGCAGCAGCAGAGUCCUCCCCGCGCCGCUCAUGCAUGCUGCUCCGCCGACAGCCACCGCACGGCGCUGCUGUUGGCUGGAACAAACUUCAUCCUCGUCGUCGCACUGGUGUUCCUAAUCUUCCAGCAUAGUGCUUAGGGGGCGUUUAAUUAAGUCCAUAGUCCACUAGUUCCUCUAAUUUAUUAUGUUCGUUGCGUUGUACUGGGACGAGCCUCUUCUGUUUAUUUGCUAUUAUGGUCACUGUGACGGUCAUUGUCAUUUUGUUGUAAUGCAAUCAAUGCCUAUGAAUCAUUAUAUAUUUCGUGACACCUAUGGUCAUGUUCAUCUUUUGUAUGAAAAUGUCACGUGCAAUUUUUUAAGGCCCGCAUUAUUUUCUUAAUUGCCCAUGUGUAGUCACAUCAAUGGAAGCCAUAUUAUUUUUUAUUUAGCGGGGCCAGCUGUUCACGCUGCCGCCCACUACGGCCGAACCCGUGACCACUUUCCUGUACACUCCCACCGCUCAGCUGUUUGUCUCUCUCUCUUUCCUUAUCAUUCAGAUCUUCUUCUUCCUUUCUCCAGCGACCGGGAAGACUCUGCUUCGAACAGCUCGCCGGCCACCCCCCUCGCCCGCAGCGUUGAUAGGCGUCAAGAUCGGCCUCUCAUCCAGGUCCGCCCUCAUCCACAUCAUUUUUCCCCCGUCAUGCGCUGUCAGUCAUGCAAGUUCCUAGUGGGAUCUAUUCGAUUAUUAGACCCAUUGUUGUUCAAGAUCCAAGAGCUCGGAAGGCCAGCUGACUAGAUUUUUUUCCUCUGCUUUUGUCCAUACCAUGCGUAGCUCCAGUCAUGUACUGGGUUGCAUAGAUAAAUCUGAUUCCAUUACCAUCUCAUUUUGUUCACUAUUAGUUUGUUUUACUGAAUACAGAUCUAUUAGUGUACUGGCUUCAGUUAUUAAAUCGCAAUUUAUAGUACUAUCCAUUCUAAGUUCUAGAAGAUCAUUUGAAUCAGCUAAAUGUUCUUUACUGAAUAUUGGGCUGAGUUUUCUUUUGCACAGCUCCCAUGUUAAAUUUUAGGUUAAUGUUUGCAGGACAAACAUGUCGGAUGCAGCUAGUUGCGGAGGGGACCCGUGUGGUGAGAACCUACAGAUCCCUCCAGACUUACCAAGUGAUGAUUCAGCAGAGAGUGCUCUUCCAGAGUCAUGUCCAGCAGCAACAUCUCGUAUAUCUGUCAAGCACGUGGUUGAGGUUAUCCGGUCAUUCAAUGAGUACAAAUGGUUUCUUGUUACAAGUAUUGGUUUUGGUGGCAUGCUCGACCUCCAGAUGCUUCAGACAUUGAACCUAAAAUUCAGCGCUUGGACAAUGAGCAAGGUCAGCACUAGCCGCCGUGCACUUGUCCUGGCUGCUAACAAGGUACUGAAAUUCUGGCCAGAGGAUGUUCACAAGGUUUUUGGGAUCCCGUGCGGGCAUCGCAACAUAAAGGGCCGUGAUGGUCACAUCAAGCCGGAGGCGGUUCAGUUCAUGAAGACCGCAUUGGGAAUGGACAAGAAGGGGCUUCAUAGCCUGCAUGCAGUGGAAGAUUUCCUCAGGAGGGUCAUUUCUGAAUCAUCAAGCAAGCUAGAGAAGGACUGCUUCCAAAUUGCCUUUGUUAUUUUUGUGAUGGGCCAUGUUCUAGCACCGACCACAAAGCAUGAUUACGCCACUAUCGAUUUCUGGGGGGCUCUAGCUGACACCGAGACGAUAUCCCAGUUCAAUUGGUGUGAGUAUGUGAUUCAAGCUAUGCUAGCUGGGGUUAAGAGGCUGAAGAAUGACAUCCGUUCAGGCAACCCCGUCAGUAACUUAGUAGGAUGCCAUUUUUUCCUGUAGGUAGCACAAGUGUUUCAGCACAUGCAUCAUCUAAACUAUAUUUACCUGUAAUUACGGCUGACUAGUGUAUUCCAAUCAUUUUUUACAGAUUUUCGUUCUGGACAACCUCGAUCUGGGAAUCUUCAACAAGCAUCAUUCUGUUCUGCCCAGGGUCAAGGAGUUUGAUCAGAAGUCAGUCCGCAAUAUGAUAACACAGGCUACUGAUGUUGGCAACGGAACCACGUCCUAUGCCAGCGCUAUGGUGAGUCUCCAUUAUAUGCCAUUUUAAAUUUUUGUAUGCAUUCAAGUUAUUCUCCUUUAUUUUAAUGACAAUGCCAUGGCUUUUCUGAAGCUACGCGACCACUCAACUGUGUGUUACGAGCGAUCAAAGUAUCCUGUCCUCGAGCUGUCAGAGUCCAGAAAUACUGUUUUUUCACCGAUGCAGCCAAGCUUGUCUUGUGGUGCUACCGCUAGCGCGACAUCUGCGAGGGACGCACCUACCUCAGCCCAAAAACAUAAUCUCAUUACUGAAAUGACGCCGACUACUAUACGACUACUAGGGCCCAUGGAUUUCUCAAACUACCUAUGUAGGCAGUACCCGCAUCUGGUUAGUUGACAUUUUUUAUGUGUUCGUCCGUACCGGUUCCUGCUCACAUGCAUCAUCAUUAGUCACACGGUUUGUUGUUGCUGACUCCAUCUCAUGCUUUAGGCCAACGAUGAAACCACUAUUCUUCUGAAGGAAGUCAAUGCUCGCUGCAUAUCGCACCUAACAACUGCACGUGGCCACAUCCAGCUCGAGAUGAUGAAGUUUGCCGACAAGCUUUAUGCUGCCCGCCCCCGCACCUGCACAUGUUGUGCAGCGCGUGACUAUGACGAGUGCCCACCCAGAGCUCCCACUGCUCCCAAUGGUACCUCCUCCUUCAGCACAUCCAUUUUUCUGUUCUCCAUGUAUGUACUAUAAUUUACGCCCCCUCAUCACCAGCAGUUAAUGUGAUGAGAACGCCAGCUAGAAAUGUCAUUCAGGGCCACCGACUCAACCUAUCUCCAUGUGAAGGUAACCUCGCCCACCCGUUUUUCGUUUUUUGUUGAAUUAUACUAGUUGAAUUGACAACGCCGUGUGUUCCAUGAUAGGCAAUACUUCCACGAGCAAGCGGGUAAAAAUUGCACACUCACCCUACCCAAGUGAGGACAAUCGGUUGGGCUCUGCUCUUCGCCAAUUUCUACAAACGGUGACCCAGUUUUUCAAGCAAAACAUGCAAGCGAUCAGUGAACUAUACAUCGAUCUUCCAAAUGAUGGCAGCACAACUGUGUUUGGUGAGAGGUGUGCUGAUCUUCCCGACCGAAAAUAUGUAUCUCGCCCCGGCUUCCAAACUGAUCCGUGGGUCAGGGGAGUGGUACCUUGUCCUCCACACGCUGGUGUUGCUGAGCUAAUUGAGCAGUACCUCAUUUCUGCUCCCGACAACGAGCUAGCUGGGUAUGUCCAUGCACCAAUGUAACGACUUUAACUUUUUUUUUCUGUCAUCACAUUGUGAGCAGUUAAUGUUAAUAUGCCAGCAAUAAUGAAUCGUUGUUCUUUUAUGCAGGAACUUUCUUGUUCACGAGGACCCUAGAUUCAUUCGGAUAUCUGGUUUUGUUCUACGUGACCAGCUUGUUGGCAAUAACAUUAUAGGCCAUGAAUUGAUGUCAAUCUUGUUUAGGCAUUUCGCUCAACUUGAUGCGUACGCUGAAAUUGAAAGUCCUUACCUAAGCUGGAGGCACCCCAUUGAACUGGAUUUUCCAGUAAGAUAAAUACCUUCCUAUUUUGUUUUCCUUCUAUUUAAACUGGUUUUUCUAGCCGACAAUCAUGCGUUCAUACUGCCAUUUUGCAGACACUAGUGUUGUCUGACUGCGAUUUUCUGCACACCGUGUCAAUCCAGAGGCAGUUAGCCUCUGAUUAUCUCAAGUAUGACAUAACUUCGUCAAAAAUGGUACCUUUCUGGUCGAGAACCAUAUGUUUUCCAUCACAACAAAUUGACUCAAUUGCACAGCAGUAGCUGACAUCCUUCUGUUAUCCCACAGUUCAUCACACCGGUGCCACGCCCCGAAGGGUGGUUGGUUGUUAUCUGGGACAUGCAAAUGAAAGUUAUCAAUUUGCUCGACCCGCUCUAUCACAAUGCUCUGGAAAGUCCCCCUGGAAGGACCGUGAUGAAGCAAUGGCAUGGAAACUGCGCAAUGCACUGUUCGCAUGCCUCCAUGAAUUCUAUGCUGGAUGGCCGGCAGUGAAGGAGAAUUGGCGUAUGACGCAUGAGCCUACAACGGACGUCAUUUUCAAUGUGUAAGUAAUUCCGCAAUACAUAUGCAAUCAACCGACUUUGUGAUAGAACCAUUCAAAACUUACAAUCUAAUGUUUGAUCGAUCCCUCAAUGUUUUUUAGUGGUGAAUCAGGAGCGUGUGCCGUACACAUCUAUCGUCAGUUCGACGGUGACAAGCUCAAAAUCCCACUUACGAAGGUAUGUUGAAGACUGUUGCUAGCCAAAUUUUCUUUUCAUUCCGCGCACUACAACCAUAUGCAUUAAAGUUUGUACCAAAAUGAUACAUCAAUCCGCAAUAUGUGGUUGACACACCAUCCACAUCUUUGUUAACAACAAAACGUUUUCAAAACCAAGAGGGACUGCCUGCACGAGUGCUUGAAGAUCCAGGGUAACUUCUCAAAGCUAGCUCACAAAGCAUUGUGGACUGUUUUAGCGCCAUCUGACUUUGCCUUCGACGAAUAAACACAUAAUUUGGCACCAACCAUCGCCACGCGAGAUGUUAUCCACUUUUCACUGUCUUCGCCGUGUCGGUUAUCAUUGGGGAUUGUAUGAGACUUGGGGUGAACAACUUAUCUUGUGGUGUGUUGUUUAUGGAAACGCAGUUACCUAUCCCCUGUCGCGACAUCGCACCAUGUUGGGUUUUACAAGGUCUUUUACCCAUUUGGACAAAACAUAUAUAUAUGUAUUAGUACCCAAAGUAUUCUCCCUGUAGGACGGAAUGAAGAUCUUUUGUUAAAUCUCCUUGUUCAUAUACAACAGCGAACCUUAUGUUUUAUAAUAAAGUAAUCACAAUCUGGCAUGGAUUUGUCACAUGAGUUUAUUCACAACCACUGCCAUAAAAUGUAUUAAAAACCCCUAACCAUACAUCCCAUCUUUUUCCGAUUCACCUUAAAUUUGUUAAGUUCCUGAAAGGCAAUACCGUUAAUGAAGUUGCCUGCGCAAAACUACUACUUCCGAAUGCUACCAGUUUGUCACUCCAAAUGGAUGCCUUUAGUCAUCCCCCGUUCAUUCUCCUUUUGCUUAUUUUCAUCAUCUGCAUAUUAAAGACUUGCACUACAGAUCAACCAUUUACGCCCCAAGUUAGUCAUUACACGACUGAACAUCAGGGCAACACAAGUACAGACAAGGGCAAAUUUCAAUACUAGUCUUAAGGACACAAACAUCUUCACGAAUACAGACGACAUGAUAAGUAAACCAUGUUCAGGCACUACCGACCACACACCACAGCCCCCCACCUGAAAUCCGCAUAGGGGACAGACGCAAAAGGCACCAAAGUCUGUUUUCACCAGAAUCUAACAUAACCAUUUGUGCUGGGACAUUUAGCACUCAAUUGCCAGCUAGUGGAGCAGGAGCUAAUCUAUCAUACCCCAGCCAUGCAUCUAAUUCAAAAGAUCUUCCAUGGUACUCCACCAGUUCUUAACGCUUAGUAUAUACACGUAGUUAAAUAGCCUCCCCGUGCUUGAUUAGAACGGAACUUCGUUGAGCAUGAAGCUUGGCAGGUCACCCCUGUUGCCCCUCAUCGUAAUCACCUCAUAUGCAAACUGCUUCUUAAGGUAAGCCAGCUCGUCCUGCGGGGGAAACAGUAAUUGCUUUAUGAUGAGUCAUCUUGCUAUCUCCGCUCUAUACAAGGCUAACACAUUUUAUGCAUUCAUAAAUGAUGUCCCUUUUUACCUCGCCAAUUUGCCUCUGGAGAUACAGUCCUUUGUAGUUCCUCCAGUAAUGCCAAAGGUAGAUCCAGCUGUCCUCACUGCGAAAAAAAUGUGAAUUAACAGUCACACGAUGCCACAUGUUUGCUCUUUUUUCUAUGGUUGUGAUUUGUUCUCGAUGAAUGACUUACAUCUCACACGGUUCAUUCAUGCAGUAGGCAUAAAGCACACUCCAACCGUCCUCAGGUAUGUACCAGUCUGCGAAGUGACCACGAAGGACCCUCCGGAGCCUGCGCAGGACGAGGUGUGCAAUGACCUCAUGUUUGACACGCAUCUCAUCAUCGUGGAUGCUUGUUUCAACUGGAUCCAUGACAACAAGUGUUCUUUCUUCAAUGUCCACAACAUAGAAGGAAAAUCCCCCCAUCAUCGGUACAGGAAGAAACAGCUGCACAAUAGAAAGUGAAGCAAAAAUCAGCAAGGCAAGUCAUUCAUUUUUUCUGCAUGCAUUUUGUAAGAAACUUAUAUGUGGUUCGACAUUUUAUUUUCUGUACCUUCUUGGUCCAUUGAAGCUUGUAUCCAAGCAAAUCUUCUUCCAGCAUACUCACUAUGAAUUCGUAGUCAAGUACAUUAGAGCUCAAGUCAUCAGAGCUAUACAUCAGAUAUUCCUGCCGCCAAGCCAUACUGUUAGUUAUUGAUACACACGAGCUACUAAUGCUCAGACUUAUGAAGUUUUAGUUGCAUUUACCACAAAACGAAUGUCGAACAGAUGCCUCCAUCUUAUUUACCAUUUGCCAUACAUGCGAGCAUCUUUACCGACAAGCAUCCGUGAAAAUGCUAUCCACCCAUGCUUUGUGAGCUCACCAUCAGGGCCAAAUUGAUGUAUGAAAUCAUCCCCACCCAGGACAAUGAGGUACAUGACCAGGUGUUUGAACCAUUUCCUGCGUGUAGAUUCCCAAUUAGGUCUGUACACAUGUACUAAAUGGCAUAGACAAAUCUGUCAAGUAGUCAUCAGAAAACAACUACCCACCUGUCACGAUCACUCCGUGUGCUGUGCACCAUCUUGUCGUAGAACCGCAGCACGUCCUGAGCAGUGGGUAUAUCAUGCUUAAGUCCGAAUUUCCCAGGGAACUUCUCACCCAUCUCACUCUUAACCUCAAUCCUUAGUAUUCCCUCUGGCAACCUCAGAUUUCUUGACAGUCUGUCUGAUACCGGCACUGAAAUUUUCAGAAACAUUGCAUGUAAGCAUGCAAAUAAAUUCCCAAUCUCAACCAGACAAGCUAAUGUAUUAAGCUCCAAACUUAUCAUUGGAAACAACGUCUGGCCACCUGUUGCUCCGUGGUGCCGAGCAGCUGCUGAACCAUCCAUUCCUGUCACAUGUGAACAUAUUAUUACACUACUUGAAAAAAGAACCAAUGGUAUUCGCUGUAUACUUCAGGUAAAUCUCAGAACUCUGUGUUUUACCUUGGUCAGAAUUUUGUACGCGUUGUGGCAACUGGGUAGAGCUUCCCCCAACUUCCGUCACUGUCAUUUUUUUUGUGAACUAUUAUAUAAUUGAAAACGAAAUAAGGUGCAUGAAAAAAUUACUACUCUCAUUUUUCAUGUGCAUGAGAGCUCACCAGUUCUCCCUGCAAACGUAUCCCCAGGGAUACUAUCAUGCCUAUGGAGUCUGCUAACAGUGACAGGUUCAUCAUGAGGACCUAUGUCCACGCCAGCUACAAGACACACAAACAGAUCAACUCAGAUUAACCGAUCCAAUGUUAUCAAUAAUUCAACGCCCGUGUAAAUAUGCCCACUCACCAGCAUGGCCGUGUACUGGACCAAUAGGAUCCACUACAUUAGCUUUAGUUAUGCCAUCACUAACAGGACCAGGAGCAUGCGCCCAUACCACGCCACCACUGAUAGUGUUGCCAACAACUGUAGAUUUUUCAUAAAGUUAAUCUUCAUCUUAUAUUUUUCAACACAUAAAAAAUGCAGUGCACAUUACCGCAGAAUUAACAUUUUUACCUGUACCCUGUGUAGCUGGUUCCUCACUGUCCUCGCCACUAGCAUCGUUCCCGUCGUCAGAACUGCUGUCAUCAGUUUCAGAGUUGUCCGUUGGACAAAUUGUCUGAACAACAUUCGAGAACUUAACUCUUCUUCGGUGCUUACUCUUUGCCUUUCUUGAUUUCCUUGUCUUACGUUUCUUCUGGGGGGCAGCCCUCCUCCCUGCAGAAUCAAACACAAUUUUCGCAAACAUAUGUUAGAUAGAGAAGUAUCAAUUUUUCUCCGUUUCACUUGUCUGAUUUAAUUAGAUUUUUCACCUCUUUUUCUUCGGUGCAUGGAUACGCCACUCCGACAGUAGUAAUAAUCAUCUAAGCUUGUCUGAACCACUACAUCUACAGGAAGAAAUAUUUGUCAGGCUCUCAUCCGCACGUCUUGUUAGGAGCGCGUACUUAUCAAUCGUUUAUUUCGAUCACAUACCUGAACCUGAUGAUCGCCCAGCCAUCGUCCUUGUCCCCAUUGAACCAGCAAAACCCACACUAGAAGACACGAUCUCGAUUUGCUCGUCAGUAACUGCAGCAGAAUCAUGCAAGGAUGAGUACCCCUAUAGAGUUCCAAUCAUUUUCUCAUGGACCGUCUAAUUUUUCACAUGUUAUCUUUAUGCUCACCGUUGCGAUCAUAAAGCUUCUCGUAUAUUUCUGCUACAUGAGUAUCAGUAGCCACUUGGUCCCUUGCGUCCUGAUCAAUCUCCUCCUGAAUCUUCUUAGCAACUUCCUCAUCUUUCUCAUGGCGCUCUUUUCCUUUCCUUCCUUCAUCCUCCAGAAUCUUCCUUGCCAAUUCUGCGUCAUGCUUUUCUUGUUCCCUUAGCCUUUUGUCAGUGUCCACCUUAGUUAUGUGAUCAUGUCCAGACCACAUUUCAAAAUCAGACUCGUGAUGGCUAUCAAUGUCAACUUGAUACGAAACUCCUCCUGGAGCAACCAACGAUACGUGCUGGUUGGCAUCAACGGUUGCUUCCUCUAGCACGUCUGCAGUCAUGAUGGGUCGCUUAGUCAACAUACAAAAAUUCAUUCUGCUGAAACAUUUGAAAUAUCGCAAAAUUAGCAUCUUACAUUCGCGAACCAGCUCGUUCUGAAGCUGCAUUGCACACUCCACGUCGAUGUCGACAACACGAGGCUGUUGAGUGCAAUGCACGUCAAUCUCAUCCUUCACAGUCACUGCCUCAACUUGCAUUGCCGUGAUCUCUUGCAAAACAGUGUCCAUUUCACUAACAGCAGCUGCACAGUCCAACAUGCCUAUCUUUUUUGUUUACGUCUCCAAAAUAAAUAAAUUACGUACAUGCUUAUUUUUCAGACAUGACAUGGAAUACCUGAUGUUCGCUCGACAACAUCAGUUCCAGCCCUUAUUUGUCUUGAACACACAUUCCCUUGAUUCACUAGUCGGGCGUGCCGUGCAGGCCCUACAGUUUUUAUCAAGUUAGGCAUCCUGGUCAAACCAGUCAUCAAAACUACAUUAUCACAUCUGCGAAAGCAAUACCAAAAUCAUACCUCCAGCAUCUCCCAGACGUAUCCCUUCUUCAGCUCCACCCCCCAACAUAUCUAUGAGUUUUUAUUCGAAAUGUUGUUAGGUAUCAUCUUGCUCAUGGUUACAUACAUAUAAGUGCUACAAUGUAGUCAGCCCGUGAGGCACUAACCUUGUCUUCGUAGGUGACGAGCAGCGUUCCUGGAGCGACGCUCACGAAUUUCCUCAUCAUUCUCAUUACUGUCAGAUGACUCCAUCUUAGAUUCUAUAGCUGCUGCCUUCUUGCCUUUCUCUGCUGCACUUAUCCGAGUAGACCGCCUAAGUGGGGUAGUUGCUGAAGGCGCCAUUGGAGGUGGUGUUGACAUCUCAGUAUGUUCAACACCAAGUACUCCACCUGCAUCAGAAAACAACAAUGCCACGAUCAGUCACCAUAAAGAUCUUAAUGGCACACCACAUUCAAGUUCCUGGUUGUUUCUUAAAUUUUAUAAAGCACUUACUGUGUGCGAAAGUUAUUGGUUCCGCCAAUGUUGUUGUCACGACGGUACAUUCACUAUCAACAGCUACAUCAUCUUCAAAGUUCCUAAUCUCUUCUACAUUAUCCUGCAUGCUUACAACAAUCAGCAAUGGGCACUAAAAUAACAAGAAGUCUUUCAUAAAUUUCAGGAUGAAAGCUAUCACCAGAUUAAUGCUGCCUGCUACCAAAGGAUGCCACUGCAUCUGAAGAUUAGUAAUGUAUCCAUCAGGCCUUGUCUGCAUGAGAACAACAGCUGUCAGAGUUUUCAUUUAUCUGAACACUUGCGCGCACACUCAUUCCAUUUACAAAAGGUUGUACUUACUCUAUAAGCAGCAGGAUUAGCCUUGAUUAGCUUAAUUAGCUUGGAAACUUGGUCAUGUGUGUAAGCUGCUAUCCUUGGCCCAAAGCUUGGAUACAAGUAAUGAAUCCCAAAGUCUAUCCAGUCCAGAGCGAAACACUGCACAACAAACAGAAAGUGUUAGAAAGGUUGUACUUUUUAGUGUGGGCAACAACAUAAGGACAUGCACAAUGAUUGAAAGGUGCAUUCCAACAACUCACUUUAAGGAAAAGUGGAUUGCCGCACAGGAUAGAAGCAUCCAUGCCGGCGAGUAUGUCCGCAUGCAGCCUUCUUGCAGCCCUUCUAGCCAUCUCCAACAAAUAGGCUCCCCAGUUAUAUGACCCAAUCUGUGUUGGGUCUUGCACGACAAGCAAAAUUUCUUCAGGAAUGACAUGCACGGACUGCCUUGGACCAAUGAACGUGGCGCACACAACUAUGGUGACAGCAACCAUGAAAGCAACUGUGUCCUCUCUGGUCAUGCAGCAAGGGUUGAUCUUGCUAAUGACAUCUCUGCAGUCUUUCACACUAACAGCCCCCGUGCCCUCUAUUCGUAGAUACCUCCUGAUGUUAUCCAUCAGGUCAGAUCUGUGAGGUGGUGCCCCGAACUCCACUAAUCUACCUCUACCAGUCACCCCAAAGAUCCUAACCACAUCCCGGACCGUGAUUCUUCGCACCUCACCGUCCCAAAAUACAAAUGUCAUGUUUCUUGGGUUGACCCUGGAAAGCAGAGUUGCGUAGAAUUUUCGAUCUACAGUCUCGGUGUACCGGUUAGUGAGCAAGCUAGCUAGCCCAGUGGGAAUGGCGACGCUGUAGAAGACGGGGCCGAUGGUCAGCAGUGGCGGAGUAGCGAACAUGCUCGAGUACGUUGCCCGCCUUCUUAGCUCGACCACCGGCGAGCCGCUCGCUGACACCACCAUCGACAAGCUCCCCCAGCGCUUGUUCCUUUUUCUCUGGCUAGAUCCUCCCGCCUUGUCUGGGUCAUCGAUCGAUAUGCGCCGCUUCUGGCUCCCUGGAUCAUCAUCGGUCGCCAUAUAGCUCCUGCGGUCAAACAGACAUUGCCGUAGCAAGCAGCAGAGGUCACAGAUGAGCUCCCAAAGGAAGAAGAACAUAAUAUGUAUGAGAGAGAGGUGCAGAUGUGUCGCCGGCGCAUGCGCUCGCGUUACUCACCUGUGAGCCGCCUUCUAUGCCGCCGGAUAGCGGAUCUGCGCCGGUUUCCCAGCGAUAGCUCGGACCUUGUUCUCCCCGAGGCUGCUGUGAGGGAGAAGGAAUGUGGUGUUGGGGAGUGGAGUGAGCAGUACCGCAGCAGCUAGCCCAAGAGAGGUAAUAGUCUCUUCAGUUUCACCCGAGGCCGCCUGCCACCUGACAACUUUUUACCACCACAGUGGUAAAUACGAAUCUCUCAUUUAUUUAUCACCCAAAGCGCUACAGUCCUAGAUAUUUUGGGUUACACCGGCGGGAACUUUUCCGCCCACACCCGCUGGCACGUGGAUCAGUCCACACCGAACACGAGCUUACAACAUUUUCGUUGUACCGUGCACUCCUGCCUGCAAGUGCACGCGUGUAAUCUUUCAAAAACCAGUUCCCGAUUCGUGUACCAGUUUAUCCACAUGGUCCCACUAGUUAGAAUGGAGCAUCCUAAUUGAGUAAUGGGUGCACAGGCAAGCACCAUUUAUCUGUUUUGGGACCAGCCCCGGCACCUGACACGUAUAUACAGCUGGAAACAAAGACCCGAUCAGGACGAUCCAUUUUGCCACAAGUGACAAACCCAGAGGAUGUUCCUCUGGGGUCCACGCAGCACCGGCACAACAAACGGGCGGUUGCGGUAGUGUGCGGUCGCUGGAUGCACAUGCAGUGAUUGGAGUCUUCAACAGGGUCACGAACAUCUAACACCUUUGACCAUGGGCCCCCUCUCGGGUCAGACGCAUGCACAUGCACCAUGCAGUUCCCAAGCUCUCCUCAGGCAAAUUUAAUACGAUUCAAACACAGCUACCACCAUACAGCAUUGGUUUUCAGUACUUGUGCUCAAUCUGCGACGCUAAUCACCGGCUGACAAAACACACACCAUGGUCUUAAAAUAACAAAACACACAUCCCACUGUACUAUUAUAAAUGGCUACUACUGUACAUACUCCACAAGCACCCCGUAAACAGAAACACAGGCAAUUUUCCUCUACUCGAAUCCUCAGUGGCUAGCCUAGCGAAGCCGUUGACGCUUCGCUGGUGGGCUAACCACUUCUUCUUCCCCAUCGUCUUCACCCAUCUCAUACUGUGGAGCUGCCGAUCCUUCCCCGUCCUCAUAAUCCUUGGCAUCAACAAUCUGGCCCCAGGCGCCUACUUCUGGAUCGUGGUUGCCACUCCCUUCGAGGCCACCAGCUUCUGGUUCCACUCCAACGUUUCCUCCCACUUCGUGUUCUUCAUCGUCAGAUCCAUCAUCCAAGUAUGGACAUCUUGUUGGGGAUCGUAGCAGAAUUUUAAAAUUUUCCUACGCUCACCAAGAUCCAUCUAUGGAGUAUACUAGCAACGAGGGGAAAGGAGUGCAUCUACAUACCCUUGUAGAUCGCGAGCGGAAGCGUUCCAAUGAACGAGGUUGAUGGAGUCGUACUCGCCGUGAUCCAAAUCACCGAUGACCGAGUGCCGAACGGACGGCACCUCCGUGUUCAACACACGUACGGAGCAGCGACGUCUCCUCCUUCUUGAUCCAGCAAGGGGAAGGAGAGGUUGAUGGAGAUCCAAAAGCACGAAUGCGUGGUGGUGGAUGUAGCGGGAUCUCGGCAGGGCUUCGUCGAGCUUCUGCGAGAGGGAGAGGUGUUGUAGGGGAGGAGGGAGGCGCCCAAGGCUGUUUUUUGCUGCCCUCCCUCCCCCCUUUAUAUAGGCCCCAUNNNNNNNNNNNNNNNNNNNNNNNNNNNNNNNNNNNNNNNNNNNNNNNNNNNNNNNNNNNNNNNNNNNNNNNNNNNNNNNNNNNNNNNNNNNNNNNNNNNNNNNNNNNNNNNNNNNNNNNNNNNNNNNNNNNNNNNNNNNNNNNNNNNNNNNNNNNNNNNNNNNNNNNNNNNNNNNNNNNNNNNNNNNNNNNNNNNNNNNNNNNNNNNNNNNNNNNNNNNNNNNNNNNNNNNNNNNNNNNNNNNNNNNNNNNNNNNNNNNNNNNNNNNNNNNNNNNNNNCCCCAAGGCAAGUGGGGCGCCCCCCCCCCCACCCUAGGGUUUCCAACCCUAGGCACAGGGGGAGGCCCAUGGGGGGCGCCCCAGCCCACUAAGGGCUGGUUCCCUUCCCACUUCAUCCCAUGGGGCCCUCCGGGAUAGGUGGCCCCACCUGGUGGACCCCCGGGACCCUUCCGAUAGUCCCGGUACAAUACCGGUGACCCCCGAAACUUUCCCGGUGGCCGAAACUUGACUUCCUAUAUAUAAUUCUUCACCUCCGGACCAUUCCGGAACUACUCGUGACGUCAUAUCUCUACAACCCUAGCGUCAUCGAACCUUAAGUGUGUAGACCCUACGGGUUCGGGAGACAUGCAGACAUGACCGAGACGCCUCUUCGGUCAAUAACCAACAGCGGGAUCUGGAUACCCAUGUUGGCUCCCACAUGUUCCACGACGAUCUCAUCGGAUGAACCACGAUGUCGAGGAUUCAAUCAAUCCCGUAUACAAUUCCCUUUGUCAAUCGGUAUGUUACUUGCCCGAGAUUCGAUCGUCGGUAUCCCAAUACCUUGUUCAAUCUCGUUACCGGCAAGUCUCUUUACUCGUACCGCAAUGCAUGAUCCCGUGACUAACUCCUUAGCCACAUUGAGCUCAUUAUGAUGAUGCAUUACCGAGUGGGCCCAGAGAUACCUCUUCGUCAUACGGAGUGACAAAUCCCAGUCUCGAUCCGUGCCAACCCAACAGACACUUUCGGACAUACCCGUAGUGUACCUUUAUAGUCACCCAGUUACGUUGUGACGUUUGGCACACCCAAAGUACUCCUACGGUAUCCGGGAGUUGCACGAUCUCAUGGUCUAAGGAGAAGAUACUUGACAUUGGAAAAGCUCUAGCAAACGAACUACACGAUCUUUGAGCUAUGCUUAGGAUUGGGUCUUGUCCAUCACAUCAUUCUCCUAAUGAUGUGAUCCCGUUAUCAAUGACAUCCAAUGUCCAUAGUCAGGAAACCAUGACUAUCUGUUGAUCAACGAGCUAGUCAACUAGAGGCUUACUAGGGACACGUUGUGGUCUAUGUAUUCACACAUGCAUUACGAUUUCCGGAUAACACAAUUAUAGCAUGAACAAUAGACAAUUACCAUGAACAAAGAAAUAUAAUAAUAACCAUUUAUUAUUGCCUCUAGGGCAUAUUUCCAACAGUCUCCCACUUGCACUAGAGUCUAUAAUCUAGUUACAUUGUGAUGAAUCGAACACCCAUUGCGUCCUGGUGUUGAUCAUGUUUUGCUCUAGGGAGAGGUUUAGUCAACGGAUCUGCUACAUUCAGGUCCGUAUGUACUUUACAAAUAUCUAUGUCUCCAUUUUGAACACUUUCACGAAUGGAGUUGUAGCGACGCUUGAUAUGUUUGGUCUUCCUGUGAAACCUGGGCUCCUUGGCAAGGGCAAUAGCUCCAGUGUUGUCACAGAAGAGAGUCAUCGGGCCCGACGCAUUGGGAAUCACCCCUAGGUCGGUAAUGAACUCCUUCAUCCAGACUACUUCCUGUGCUGCCUCCGAGGCUGCCAUGUACUCCGCUUCACAUGUAGAUCCCGCCACGACGCUUUGCUUGCAACUGCACCAGCUUACUGCUCCUCCAUUCAAAAUAUACACGUAUCCGGUUUGUGACUUUGAGUCAUCCAGAUCUGUGUCGAAGCUAGCGUCGACGUAACCCUUUACGACGAGCUCUUCGUCACCUCCAUAAACGAGAAACAUAUCCUUAGUCCUCUUCAGGUACUUUAGGAUAUUCUUGACCGCUGUCCAGUGUUCCAUGCCGGGAUUACUUUGGUACCUUCCUACCAAACUCACGGCAAGGUUUACAUCAGGUCUGGUACACAGCAUGGCAUACAUAAUAGACCCUAUGGCCGAGGCAUAGGGGAUGACACUCAUCUUUUCUCUAUCUUCUGCCGUGGUCGGGCAUUGAGCCGUGCUCAAUUGCACACCUUGCAAUACAGGCAAGAACCCCUUCUUGGACUGAUCCAUAUUGAACUUCUUCAAUAUCUUGUCAAGGUAUGUACUCUGUGAAAGACCAAUGAGGCGUCUUGAUCUAUCUCUAUAGAUUUUGAUGCCUAAUAUAUAAGCAGCUUCUCCAAGGUCCUUCAUUGAAAAACACUUAUUCAAAUAGGCCUUUAUACUUUCCAAGAAUUCUAUAUCAUUUCCCAUCAAUAAUAUGUCAUCCACAUAUAAUAUGAAUAAUGCUACAGAGCUCCCACUCACUUUCUUGUAAACACAGGCUUCUCCAUAAGUCUGUGUAAACCCAAACGCUUUGAUCAUCUCAUCAAAGCCAACUCCGAGAUGCUUGCACCAGCCCAUAGAUUGAGCGCUGGAGCUUGCAUACUUUGUUAGCAUUCUUAGGAUCGACAAAACCUUCCGGCUGCAUCAUAUACAAUUCUUCCUUAAGGAAGCCAUUAAGGAAUGCCGUUUUGACGUCCAUCUGCCAUAUCUCAUAAUCAUAGUAUGCGGCAAUUGCUAACAUGAUUCGGACAGACUUCAGCUUCGCUACAGGUGAGAAAGUCUCAUCGUAGUCAACCCCUUGAACUUGCCGAUAACCCUUAGCGACAAGUCGAGCCUUAUAGAUGGUCACAUUACCAUCCGCGUCUGUCUUCUUCUUAAAGAUCCAUUUAUUUUCUAUGGCUUGCCGAUCAUCGGGCAAGUCAGUCAAAGUCCAUACUUCGUUUUCAUACAUGGAUCCUAUCUCGGAUUUCAUGGCUUCUAGCCAUUUGUCGGAAUCCGGGCCCGCCAUCGCUUCUUCAUAGUUCUAAGGUUCACCGUUGUCUAACAACAUGAUUUCCAGGACAGGGUUGCCGUACCACUCUGGUGCGGAACGUGUCCUUGUGGACCUACGAAGUUCAGUAGUAACUUGAUCCGAAGCUUCAUGAUCAUCAUCAUUAACUUCCUCCCCAGUCGGUGGAGGCACCACAGGAACAUCUUCCCGCACUGUGCUACUUUCCGGUUUGGAAGGGGUGACUAUCACCUCAUCAAGUUCCACUUUCCUCCCACUCAAUUCUUUCGAGAGAAACUCUUUCUCCAGAAAGGACCCGUUCUUGGCAACGAAGAUCUUGCCUUCGGAUCUGAGGUAGAAGGUAUACCCAAUAAUUUCCUUAGGGUAUCCUAUGAAGACGCAUUUUUCCGACUUGGGUUCGAGCUUUUCAGGUUGAAGUUUCUUGACAUAAGCAUCGCAUCCCCAAACUUUUAGAAACGACAGCUUAGGUUUCUUCCCAAACCAUAAUUCAUACGGUGUUGUCUCAACGGAUUUCGACGGAGCCCUAUUUAAAGUGAAUGCGGCAGUCUCUAAAGCAUAGCCCCAAAAUGAGAGCGGUAAAUCGGUAAGAGAAAUCAUAGAUCGCACCAUAUCCAAUAGAGUGCGAUUAUGACGUUCGGACACACCGUUUCGCUGAGGUGUUCCAGGCGGCGUGAGUUGUGAAACGAUUCCACAUUUCCUUAAGUGCGCACCAAAUUCGUGACUUAAAUAUUCUCCACCACGAUCUGAUCGUAAGAAUUUUAUUUUUCUGUCACGUUGAUUCUCAACCUCACUCUGAAAUUCCUUGAACUUUUCAAAGGUUUCAGACUUGUGUUUCAUUAGGUAGACAUACCCAUAUCUACUUAAAUCAUCAGUGAGAGUGAGAACAUAACGAUAUCCUCCGCGAGCCUCAACACUCAUUGGACCGCACACAUCGGUAUGUAUGAUUUCCAAUAAGUUGGUUGCUCGCUCCAUUGUUCCGGAGAACGGAGUCUUGGUCAUCUUACCCAUGAGGCAUGGUUCGCAGGUGUCAAAUGAUUCGUAAUCAAGAGACUCCAAAAGUCCAUCUGCAUGGAGCUUCUUCAUGCGCUUGACACCAAUGUGACCAAGGCGGCAGUGCCACAAGUAUGUGGGACUAUCGUUAUCAACUUUACAUCUUUUGGUAUUCACACUGUGAAUAUGUGUAACAUCACGUUCGAGAUUCAUCAAGAAUAAACCAUUGACCAGCGGGGCAUGACCAUAAAACAUAUCUCUCAAAUAAAUAGAACAACCAUUAUUCUCGGAUUUAAAUGAGUAGCCAUCUCGAAUCAAACGAGAUCCAGAUACAAUGUUCAUGCUCAAAGCUGGCACUAAAUAACAAUUAUUGAGGUUUAAAACUAAUCCCGUAGGUAGAUGCAGAGGUAGCGUGCCGACGGCGAUGACAUCGACCUUGGAACCAUUCCCGACGCGCAUCGUCACCUCGUCCUUUGCCAGUCUCCGUUUAUUCCGCAGUUCCUGUUUUGAGUUACAAAUAUGAGCAACCGCACUGGUAUCAAAUACCCAGGAGCUACUACGAGUACUGGUAAGGUACACAUCAAUUACAUGUAUAUCACAUAUACCUUUGGUGUUGCCGGCCUUCUUGUCCGCUAAGUAUUUGGGGCAGUUCCGCUUCCAGUGACCACUUCCCUUGCAAUAAAAGCACUCAGUCUUAGGCUUGGGUCCAUUCCUUGACUUCUUCCCGGCAACUGGCUUACCGGGCGCGACAACUCCCUUGCCGUCCUUCUUGAAGUUCUUCUUACCCUUGCCUUUCUUGAACUUAGUGGUUUUAUUCACCAUCAACACUUGAUGUUCUUUUCUGAUCUCCACCUUCGCUGAUUUCAGCAUUGAAUAUACCUCGGGAAUGGUCUUUUCCAUCCCCUGCAUAUUGAAGUUCAUCACAAAGCUCUUGUAGCUUGGUGGAAGCGACUGAAGGAUUCUGUCAAUGACCGCGUCAUCCGGGAGAUUAACUCCCAGCUGAGACAAGCGGUUGUGUAACCCAGACAUUCUGAGUAUGUGCUCACUAACAGAACUAUUCUCCUCCAUUUUACAGCUGAAGAACUUGUCAGAGACUUCAUAUCUCUCGACCCGGGCAUGAGCUUGGAAAACCAUUUUCAGCUCUUCGAACAUCUCAUAUGCUCCAUGCUUCUCAAAACGCUUUUGGAGCCCCGGUUCUAAGCUGUAAAGCAUGCCGCACUGAACGAGGGAGUAAUCAUCAACACGUGAUUGCCAAGCAUUCAUAACGUCUUGGUUCUCUGGGAUUGGUGCUUCACCUAGCUGUGCUUCUAGGACAUAAUCUUUCUUGGCUGCUAUGAGGAUGAUCCUCAGGUUCCGGACCCAGUCCGUAUAGUUGCUGCCAUCAUCUUUCAGCUUGGUUUUCUCUAGGAACGCGUUGAAGUUGAGGACAACGUGGGCCAUUUGAUCUACAAGACAUAUUGUAAAGAUUUUAGACUAAGUUCAUGAUAAUUAAGUUCAUAUAAUCAAAUUAUUCAAUGAACUCCCACUCAGAUAGACAUCCCUCUAGUCAUCCAAGUGAAACAUGAUCCGAGUUAACUAGGCCGUGUCCGAUCAUCACGUGAGACGGACUAGUCAAGAUCGGUGAACAUCUCCAUGUUGAUCGUAUCUUCUAUACGACUCAUGCUCAACCUUUCGGUCCUCCGUGUUCCGAGGCCAUGUCUGUACAUGCUAGGCUCGUCAAGUCAACCUAAGUGUAUUGCGUGUGUUCCGAGGCCAUGUCUGUACAUGCUAGGCUCGUCAACACCCGUUGUAUGCGAACGUUAGAAUCUAUCACACCCGAUCAUCACGUGGUGCUUCGAAACAACGAACCUUCGCAACGGUGCACAGUUACGGUGAACACUUUCUUGAAAUUAUUAUAAGGGAUCAUCUUACUUACUACCGUCGUACUAAGCAAAUAAGAUGCAAAACAUGAUAAACAUCACAUGCAAUCAAAUAGUGACAUGAUAUGGCCAAUAUCAUUUUGCUCCUUUGAUCUCCAUCUUCGGGGCACCAUGAUCAUCUUCGUCACCGGCAUGACACCAUGAUCUCCAUCAUUGUGUCUUCAUGAAGUUGUCACGCCAACGAUUACUUCUACUUCUAUGGCUAACGCGUUUAGCAAUAAAGUAAAGUAAUUUACAUGGCGUUAUUCAAUGACACGCAUGUCAUACAAAAUAAUAAAGACAACUCCUAUGGCUCCUGCCGGUUGUCAUACUCAUCGACAUGCAAGUCGUGAUUCCUAUUAAAAGAAUAUGAGCAAUCUCAUACAUCACAUAUAUCAUUCAUCACAUCUUCUGGCCAUAUCACAUCACAUAGCACAUGCUGCAAAAACAAGUUAGACGUCCUCUAAUUGUUGUUGCAAGUUUUUACGUGGCUUGUAUAGGUUUCUAGCAAGAACGUUUCUUACCUACGUUAAACCACAACGUGAUAUGCCAAUUUCUAUUUACCCUUCAUAAGGACCCUUUUCAUCGAAUCCGUUCCGACUAAAGUGGGAGAGACAGACACCCGCUAGCCACCUUAUGCAACUAGUGCAUGUCAGUCGGUGGAACCUGUCUCACGUAAGCGUACGUGUAAGGUCGGUCCGGGCCGCUUCAUCCCACAAUACCGCCGAAACAAGAUAAGACUAGUAGCGGCAAGAAGAAUUGGCAACAUCAACGCCCACAACUGCUUUGUGUUCUACUCGUGCAUAGUAACUACGCAUAGGCCUGGCUCAUGAUGCCACUGUUGGGGAUCGUAGCAGAAUUUUAAAAUUUUCCUACUCUCACCAAGAUCCAUCUAUGGAGUAUACUAGCAACAAGGGGAAAGGAGUGCAUCUACAUACCCAUGUAGAUCGCGAGCGGAAGCGUUCCAAUGAACGAGGUUGAUGGAGUCGUACUCGCCGUGAUCCAAAUCACCGAUGACCGAGUGCCGAACGGACGGCACCUCCGCGUUCAACACACGUACGGAACAGCGACGCCUCCUCCUUCUUGAUCCAGCAAGGGGAAGGAGAGGUUAAUGGAGAUCCAGCAGCACGACGGCGUGGUGGUGGAUGUAGCGGGAUCUCGGCAGGGCUUCGUCGAGCUUCUACGAGAGGGAGAGGUGUUGUAGGGGAGGAGGGAGGCGCCCAAGGCUGUUUUUUGCUGCCCUCCCUCCCCCCUUUAUAUAGGCCCCCUGGGAGGGGGGGGGGGGCGCCGGCCAGAACCCAUCUGCAUGGGGGGGCGGCGGCCAGGGGGGAGACUUGCCCCCCAAGGCAAGUGGGGCGCCCCCCCACCCUAGGGUUUCCAACCCUAGGCGCAGGGGGGAGGCCCAUGGGGGGCGCCCCAGCCCACUAAGGGCUGGUUCCCUUCCCACUUCAGCCCAUGGGGCCCUCCGGGAUAGGUGGCCCCACCCGGUGGACCCCCGGGACCCUUCCGGUGGUCCCGGUACAAUACCGGUGACCCCCGAAACUUUCCCGGUGGCCGAAACUUGACUUCCUAUAUAUAAUUCUUCACCUCCGGACCACUCCGGAACUCCUCGUGACGUCCGGGAUCUCAUCCGGGACUCCGAACAACUUUCGGGUUUCCGCAUACUCAUAUCUCUACAACCUUAGCGUCACCGAACCUUAAGUGUGUAGACCCUACGGGUUCGGGAGACAUGCAGACAUGACCGAGACGCCUCUCCGGUCAAUAACCAACAUCGGGAUCUGGAUACCCAUGUUGGCUCCCACAUGUUCCACGAUGAUCUCAUCGGAUGAACCACGAUGUCGAGGAUUCAAUCAAUCCAGUAUACAAUUCCCUUUGUCAAUCGGUAUGUUACUUGCCCGAGAUUCGAUCGUCGGUAUCCCAAUACCUUGUUCAAUCUCGUUACCGGCAAGCCUCUUUACUCGUACCGCAAUGCAUGAUCCCGUGACUAACUCCUUAGCCACAUUGAGCUCAUUAUGAUGAUGCAUUACCGAGUGGGCCCAGAGAUACCUCUCCGUCAUACGGAGUGACAAAUCCCAGUCUCGAUCCGUGCCAACCCAACAGACACUUUCGGACAUACCCCCGUAGUGUACCUUUAUAGUCACCCAGUUACGUUGUGACGUUUGGCACACCCAAAGUACUCCUACGGUAUCCGGGAGUUGCACGAUCUCAUGGUCUAAGGAGAAGAUACUUGACAUUGGAAAAGCUCUAGCAAACGAACUACACGAUCUUUGAGCUAUGCUUAGGAUUGGGUCUUGUCCAUCACAUCAUUCUCCUAAUGAUGUGAUCCCGUUAUCAAUGACAUCCAAUGUCCAUAGUCAGGAAACCAUGACUAUCUGUUGAUCAACGAGCUAGUCAACUAGAGGCUUACUAGGGACACGUUGUGGUCUAUGUAUUCACACAUGCAUUACGAUUUCUGGAUAACACAAUUAUAGCAUGAACAAUAGACAAUUACCAUGAACAAAGAAAUAUAAUAAUAACCAUUUAUUAUUGCCUCUGGGGCAUAUUUCCAACACAUCUACCCAAGGCACCGCUCUGCUCAAGAAGAAUCAGAAACGAGAAAUCAGCAUGAAGCAAUGAGAUCAACAAGGAGCGUUCACACACACAACACACCACGCACCUGUAUUGAUCCACUGGUCAUAUCCGAUUCUGCAGGCCCAAUUGAGUCGCCGACUACUACCUGGUUCACACUCCCUUCAGAACCCCUCACGUUCAAAAGAACCUGCAUACCAAUUGAGGAAUCUCAAGUAACUAUCAACUGGAUGCAAUUAAUCUGAUGAAGAGAUUGGUCUUGCAGUGAAGGCACUCACCUCAUGGUUCCUAUUCGUAGCUGCUGGCAGAUUGACACCGGUCAAAAUAGAACCGUAUGUAGAUGUUGCUGUAGCUUCCAUCUUCCCAAGAAGGGCAAACAAUGCUGGUGGCGCCGCUGCACUGGACCCGUCCCUCAGCCUCCUCCUUUGUCUAUCUUAUAUACCAGGAGAGGCACCUCUUUCCCGCUCAGGCGGUUCAAAUUUCAAACCCCUUACCUGGGCCAUGCGUCAUGACACUUGGCCUCCAUAACCAGUGAAAUUGACAAGUACAUGUUAUUUAAUAACGAAAUGACAUCCCACCACCCAUGACAUAUAUUAAAUAUACAAGCAAACCACAGAGAGACAUUCACGCAUAUUCGGCAACAGCCUGAGGCUUGCCCACUUCUGUACUACCCUGGAUCAACUCAUACAGACAGCAGCACAUGGAAAACCAUGAGGUGUGUGCCAGGAAAAAGUUUGAACUUAGAUAGACAUAGAUCCAAGAAUUGAACUAAACAUGAACUAAACUUUGAUACAGUAACACCCUAACUCAGAAUGCGCCAUGGACCUUUUUUACUCUUCGCAUACCUACAGCGAGUCUUAGUUCCAUUGCUUUAUUGCAAUUGUUCCGCCGGUGUCCUUCCACACCGCAGUUCUUGCACCUAGCAGGCUUCCUUGGUUGCUUUGGUAAAUCACCACGGUCAGGGCAUGUUGUUCGCUUGUGACCUUGUCUACGACAAAUCGUGUAAAAUCUGGUCCGUUUGCUUAGGCCUUCAUACGGAGCCUUCUCCUUGCUGGUAGUUGGUCGCCCCAUCUCUUUCCUUUUUGCCGGAGCCAGCAGUCCAUCCAACCGGUCUGUCUGUUCCCCGUACCCCCUUUGUUGGAAAUAUGCCCUAGAGGCAAUAAUAAAAUGGUUAUUAUUAUAUUUCCUUGUUCAUGAUAAUUGUCUAUUGUUCAUGCUAUAAUUGUGUUAUCCGGAAAUCGUAAUACAUGUGUGAAUACAUAGACCACAACGUGUCCCUAGUAAGCCUCUAGUUGACUAGCUCGUUGAUCAACAGAUAGUCAUGGUUUCCUGACUAUGGACAUUGGAUGUCAUUGAUAACGGGAUCACAUCAUUAGGAGAAUGAUGUGAUGGACAAGACCCAAUUCUAAGCAUAGCACAAAGAUCGUGUAGUUCGUUUGCUAGAGCUUUUCCAAUUGUCAAGUAUCAUUUCCUUAGACCAUGAGAUUGUGCAACUCCCGGAUACCGUAGGAGUGCUUUGGGUGUGCCAAACGUCACAACGUAACUGGGUGGCUAUAAAGGUGCACUACGGGUAUCUCCGAAAGUGUCUGUUGGGUUGGCACGAAUCGAGACUGGGAUUUGUCACUCCGUUUGACGGAGAGGUAUCUCUGGGCCCACUCGGUAAUGCAUCAUCAUAAUGAGCUCAAUGUGACCAAGUGUUUGGUCACGGGAUCAUGCAUUACGGUACGAGUAAAGUGACUUGCCGGUAACGAGAUUGAACGAGGUAUUGGGAUACCGACGAUCGAAUCUCGGGCAAGUAACGUACCGAUUGAUAAAGAGAAUUGUAUACGGGAUUGAUUGAAUCCUCGACAUCGUGGUUCAUCCGAUGAGAUCAUCGUGGAACAUGUGGGAGCCAACAUGGGUAUCCAGAUCCCGCUGUUGGUUAUUGAUCGGAGAGUCGUCUCGGUCAUGUCUGCAUGUCUCCCGAACCCGUAGGGUCUACACACUUAAGGUUCGGUGACGCUAGGGUUGUAGAGAUAUUAGUAUGCGGAAAUCCGACAGUUGUUCGGAGUCCCGGAUGAGAUCCCGGACGUCACGAGGAGUUCCGGAAUGGUCCGGAGGUGAAGAAUUAUAUAUAGGAAGUUCAGUUUCGGCCACCGGGAAAGUUUCGGGGGUUAUCGGUAUUGUACCGGGACCACCGGAAGGGUCCCGGGGGUCCACCGGGUGGGGCCACUUAUCCCGGAGGGCCCCAUGGGCUGAAGUGGGGAGGGAAACCAGCCACUGGUGGGCUGGUGCGCCCCCCUUGGGCCUCCCCUGCGCCUAGGGUUGGAAACCCUGGGGGUGGGGGGGCGCCCCACUUGGCUUGGGGGGCAAGCCACCCCCUUGGCCGCCGCCCCCCUGGAGAUGGGAUCUCCCAGGGCCGGCGCCCCCCCAAGGACCCUAUAUAUAGUGGGGGGAGGGAGGGCAGCAGUACCCUAGCCCCUGGCGCCUCCCUCUCCCUCCCGUGACACCUCUCCCUCCCGCUUGCGCUUGGCGAAGCCCUGCCGGGAUCCCCGCUACUUCCACCACCACGCCGUCGUGCUGCUGGAUCUCCAUCAACCUCUCCUUCCCCCUUGCUGGAUCAAGAAGGAGGAGACGUCGCUGCUCCGUACGUGUGUUGAACGCGGAGGUGCCGUCCGUUCGGCGCUCGGUCAUCGGUGAUUUGGAUCACGACGAGUACGACUCCAUCAACCCCGUUCACUUGAACGCUUCCGCUCGCGAUCUACAAGGGUAUGUAGAUGCACUCCUUCCUUCUCGUUGCUAGUAGACUCCAUAGAUUGAUCUUGGUGAUGCGUAGAAAAUUUUAAAUUUCUGCAACGAUCCCCAACACCCUUCUCAUCCCUGGAUCCAAUGAAGCUUUGAAGAACAGGCCAACAGAGUAUGAACUAGGAAGAGAAGAAUCAGAUGGAGCAAUCAGAGGCGCAAUGCCGGGGUAUUUAACAACAAAUCAAAAGAGUACUUGAUUAGGGGAAGGAGGUACACGUACCAUCUCUGAUGGCUGAUGCGGUGAUGCCACAAACCUCUACUUGAUGGGGAACGUUGAUCAUGCAAAGAGAGAUGAUUGGGGAAGGGAAUAACACCAUUGGUCUCCAUUAAUGGAUGCACGGAGUGGCGCAUCGAAUUUGGAAGCGGCGCUCUUCUCUGGAAUUGAAGAAUUUGGGGAGGAGCCGAGGAGGUGAGCAGAUUGGAGGAGAUCGAUGGAGCCCUGCAUGAGCGUAGCGAUCGAUUCUUUCGGCCCGUGAGUGCUAGCUACGUGGUGGGCUUUGGCCUUAUUGUAUACUGUACUACUACCUAGGCCGGGGCCCCUUCCUCCCAGGGGCCCAGGGCGGUCACCCCGUUGCCCCGCCCUAUGGGCCGGCCCUGAAUGUGUAUGUAUUGAAUCUUCCAGCAUGAACUGCAUCAUGAUCAAACUGCCAUGGUCUUCCCAAUAGCAACUGACACACGUUCAUCGGCACAACAUCACAGUCCACCUUAUCAAUAUAAUCUCCAACCGCAAACUUCACGCGUACCUUAUGUGUGAUCUUUAAUUUCCCGGAGUUGUAUAGCCACUCCACGUGAUGCGGCUGCGGGUGUCGCCACAUGGACAAACCCAAUGCCUGCACAAGAUCUUUGCUAAUGACAUUUGUAAAGCUACCACCAUCAAUUAUCAACUUGCAAGCACGAUUCUUGAUCUUGCACUGUGUUUUAAAAACACUCCAUCGCUGCCCCUUUGCAUCACCAUCCCCUUGAACCUUUACCACCAAAAGAUUUACCCCCUUCAUCGGUGCAUCAACUUCUUCCUCUAUUUGUUUUUUCUCUUCUCUUCUUUUCUGCAAACGGCCUUUCCAAUCUGCCAUGAACACAUCCACUGGCAUAGGAAUAAAACAAAAUCUUUGGCCUCUCCAUGACGAUAGAGAAUAACUAUUUUUCAUGACAUCCCGAACAGCCCCGACGCGCUUGCACCAUGGGUUCCCAAGUAGCAGAUGGCAGGACACCAUGGGCAUUGGACAAACGUGAAAAAAUUCCGCACUACAAUAUUUUCCCAAAUAAAAAAUUAGUAAAAUCCGAUGCGUAAUUUUGAUUUCACCUUUCAACCACUUCAGCGUGUACGGUCUUUCAAGAGGCGCCAUAUUCAGCCCCAAUUUUUCCACCACCUCAAUGCUCGCCAUGUUGACCGCAAAACCUUCAUCGAUCGUCAAAUUGACACACCGUUCCUUCACGACGCAACGUGUGUGAAAAAGAACAACCUCGCAAAUGCCUUCCUCCUCCAUCAAUACGUUCCUGCUCAACACCUUCAUACUCGCCUCCGGAGACGAUAUUGCAAACUGAAUCGCCGUGACUAACCUUAGCUCUGAAUACCACUUGGUGAAGCACAAACUAGCGAGAUGCAAUAUUCAUGCGUGUAGAUGGCCCGAUCUUUCACGGCGAUACUUGAUCAACAGUUCGUCCCCUUGUUCCUCCUGCAACCUCCAAGAUAAUUUUCACCCGCGUACGAAAAUACGCGAAUAAAAAAAAUGAUCCCCUCAGAUCAGCAUGUAGGCAUUGAUAUGAUGAUCAACACUCCGUCGCUAGUAAAUUUUCACAUUAGGAAAAUCACAAAUAAUACACACGAUCUUGCCGCCCUUGACUCGGACGUUUUCUGUAUAUUUUCAUCUCAAAACUAAACUCAUCCCGACGUAGAACAACCUUGGCUAUUAUAUAGCCGAUUGACCCUCGCGUACGCACAUGGCCUAAGGCCAAGACAACUUGGACUCCUAGCAACUUGGUUAUCACGUUUAUAACUCACGUGAACCUUUACAAGGAAAAGUACUACUCUUGUAAAUAAUUAAAGGACUACCCAAAGAGAUAGAGGCCUAAUUAAAUAAAACAUGGAAAGUUAUCCUUGCCGUUUCCAUCAAAUAUAUCUGCGUGCGUGCAGUUCAAAAAGGAAGCUGCCGAUCCUAAUCUUCUCUAGAGGUGUACGAAACGUGGGAACUAUAUCAUCUGGCUUCGGUUCUUUAUCAGCAUGCAAUCUGAAAAAUAUUCUUCUAUGUAUUGGUACACGCUCUGUAUGAUGAGCAGCAACAUGUACUGAUUCCCUUUCAAAUACAGAAGCGAUUCUGGGUCCACAAAGCUGACGCACACGACCAUUGUUUCCUCGACGAAAUUUGACCACAUGCAUGGCAAUAAUUUUCGCAACUUUUUCAUGGCUUGACUCAUUCACUGGCUCAACUUUAGUAGGAUUAUGGAUCAAGGGUGCCAUGCACUUAUCAUCACCGCGGUCAUCGAAGCAAGCCAUCACAGCAUCGCCAUGACCGUUUCAAAGAUCGCCGUCGUCACAUGCCAUCACAACAUGGUCACGGUCAUUGAACCUUUUUCCUAGUUGCAAGCCCACUCUCAACUCAUAAAUUGGGCCCCAAGUUUUUCUUCUCCUAGUUGCAAGUCCAUUAUCGACAUGCAACUGACCAUCAACUCUUUUUUUAUGUCCAGUUGCAAAUCCACCCUUUUGACCCGCAACUGGGCCCUAUCUUUUUUGCCCUAGUUUCAAGUCCACACUCAACUCGCAACUAGGCCCAUGGUACUUUUUUUAAUCGUAGGUUGCAAGUAUAGUCGACGGGGGGAGCUCCUAUCCACCGCAUUUCGAGACAAAUAGCAGCCGGACAUACACACAAAUGGCCACAUGGGCCGGCCCAACAGCAGGACCGUGGUUUGCAAGAUUCCAAAAAUUGGUGCCGUGGCUAGGAGCCGAACACAAGACCUUAUGCUCUCAGACGCAGCGGCAUACCAAUGCACCAACAAAGCAUUCAUGAAUAAGAAAAAGCGUGGUACUUUAAGAACUAGGAAUAGCCGUAGAUUUGAAGGAUAUUUGAAAUUUCAAACGUGUUUUCUUAAAACUGAAUACUUUUUUAUACUCGAACAUUUUUCAACAUUGUGAGCAAAAUUUUGAAAACACGCAAUCUGGGAAAAUUGGAACACAUUUUGAAAUUUGAAAAAAUGAGAACGAAUUUUGAAAUCAUGAACAAAAUUUGAAACUCUGAACUAUCAAGAAAAUACAAACAAAAUUUAAAAUUGCAUACAGUUUUCGAGAACAUGAUUUUUUGAUACUUUCUCCUUCUUUGAAAAUGAUAAUAAAUUUAAAAAUUCUGAAUAUUUCGGAAAGCGUGAACAAUUUUGGACUGCUCAAACAUUUUUAAACACGCGAACAAAAUUUGAAAAAUGAGAACAUAAAAAUAUGAAUAUUUUCUGAAAACACGAAUAAAAUUUGAAACUCUGAACAUUUUUGAAAAUGUGAACAAAUUUUGAAAUCACAAAUAAAAUCUGGAAAACAUGAAAAAGGAAACUUCAAACUUUUUUGACUACGUGAGCAAAUUUAAAAAUUGUGAAGUUUUUGAGCAAUGGAAACAAUUUUUUAAAAUAUCAAUAAAAUUUCAUAUUUUCGUUUUUUUGUAAAAAACGAACAAUUUUGAAAUAUGUGAAACAUUUUGAAAAUUUAGAUUUAAAAAAAAGGUGAACAAGAAAAUAUGAACUUGAAAAAGAAACAAAAAAUGAAAACAAAAGAAAUGAAAAAAUAAAGAGAAAAAACAAACCAUGAAAAUAAAUUAAACAGAAAAAUAAAAAAAACACAAAAGAAAACCGAUAAACCAGUAUAAUAAAAACCCGGUCCAGGGAACCUUCUGGAAGAUUCCCAAAACCGGCUGCCUCUUUAUGGGGGAGUGGUCCGGCCCAAUUCUCACGCUCGAGGAGAUCGCUUGUGCAAAUACUCGACAGUUUGAUGCAGUAAGCUUCAAAUAGGAUAUUUCAUCGACGCGCAACCGAAUUCUAUCUUUUUUCCCAAAUUGUGAGUUGAGAGUGAACUUGCAACUGGGGCCUGACAUUUUUUUGGCCCAAUUGCAAAUCCAUUCUCGACUCGCAAUUGGGUCCGACUUUCUGGCUUAGUUGAAACUCCAACACCGACAUGCAACUCGAGGUCGAAGGGGGCAUCAAUAUUUUGUGCCAUUUGCAAGUCCACCAUAAACAGAAAACUGGGGGUCAACCAUUUUUGUCCUACAUGACUUAGCCUAGCUGCAUGUUCAUUAUUAUUCACAAAUGGCUACACCCUUUUGCACCAGUUGCAAGCUCAUGUUCGACACGCAACUAGCCCAACCCCUUUGUCUUUUCUUUUUCCAAGUUCACCCUCGUCAUGCAUUUGGCCUCGACCCAGAGCGUUCAAAUCAAGUGAUUGUCAUCGUUUCACAAGUUUAGCAAUAACACAUGAAUUUUGAACCAGUUAACAUUUAUCUCAUCUUUUAAUUUCUAGCACAACUUAACAUUUAUAGAAAUCAGACUAUUAAACUCCUUUUUUUGCUCUUUCUCCUAGCUGCUCACAUUUGUUAUUUUACUCAAAGACUUUCCUGUAGAAAUUUCCAUCGGUAACGGGUCUCCUUCUUUUCCCUUUUUGAUUUACUUAAAAAAAAUCACCACGUUUUGGAAAAAAAUCUCAUAGUGUAUUUUCAAAAAAUUUCACCGCGUUUUAACAACAAAAUGUUCACCAUGUAUUGUUAUAGUUUUUCUCUCAUAUCCUGAAAAUGUUUUUAAAAAGUCACGACCAUUUUAAAAAUUCCUAAAUGCUAAAAAGUGCACGGCUGCUCGUUUGCCGUCGCGAGCACUCGCGUGGACAGCCGUCCGAUGCGAGGCGUAGGCGCGCGAUCACGACCAGGUGUUUUGUUGUCGGGACCGUUCGUCGUUCUCCACGACACGAUAUCGCCUGGGCGGGGCCGCCACUUCUCGCCCGUUUGGCACACAUCUCGAAACUGCCCUGGAGAGCGCCGCUGUCUCUCCCAAUCCUCUCUCGCCCUCCUCGCUCUCUCCCCAAUCCCCUCCACAUCCUCUCCUCCUCGCUCGCCGCAUUUGCACUCUACCGGAGAAAGCGGAGGUCGUGGUGCGGGCCUUGUGUGCGUGCGACGGAGGAGGGCGGGUGCUUCGGUGGUGCGCGCACGCUCGGUUGAGGAGGGCCUGGCUUUCGGUUGUCUGCGCGUGCGCGGCUGAAGGAGCGCCGGGCUGCGGUGUACGCGCGACUGAAGGAGUGCUGGGCUGCGGUGGUCCACGCGUCGGAGGAGCUUGGCGCGGAACGCAGGUCGCCGGUGACGCUGCGGUGGACUUGUUGUUGAAAUCGCGAGGUAAGGUCCAACUGUACCCUCUGUCUCCAUUUCCUUUCAGAUCCACGGGCGAGGUUGGUGGUUAGGGAUUCAACAUCCACUGUAUGGUUUUGUUUUGCCAGAUCCGUAGUUCUUCGAGGUUGGGAAUAUCCUCACAAUACUGUACGAGUUGGCAGAAUCAUACUAUUUGAGUUGCCUGGCUCUAGUCUAUGAGUUUCCUGAAAUUCAUGUGUUGUGAGAUUUGGGGCGGGGGAUUUUUGGGCAAGUUGAUUGAAUAGUGUAUUUUUGUNNNNNNNNNNNNNNNNNNNNNNNNNNNNNNNNNNNNNNNNNNNNNNNNNNNNNNNNNNNNNNNNNNNNNNNNNNNNNNNNNNNNNNNNNNNNNNNNNNNNNNNNNNNNNNNNNNNNNNNNNNNNNNNNNNNNNNNNNNNNNNNNNNNNNNNNNNNNNNNNNNNNNNNNNNNNNNNNNNNNNNNNNNNNNNNNNGUUGUUUGAAUAGUGUACUUUUGUUGCCUGGCACUAGUGUAUGAGUUGCCUGGAACUAAUGUGCUGUGAGAUUUGGAAGGGAAUCAAUCCAACAUUCAGGUGUAGCUUUUUGCGAUGUUAUGAAUUGGCUCACAAUACUGUAGGAUUUGUAUGAUUCAUACUACGUGAGUUGCUUCGACCACGUGAGCAGUUUUUUUAGGGGUGGGGGUGGAGGGGGAAUUUUUGAGAAAGUUGAUUCAAUAGUGUAGUUUUUUGUUGCUUGACAUCUCAAUUCUUGAUUUGUGCUGGAAUAAGGAAGCUCACAGAUCGAUCUGCCUGCUGACCGUUUGAUGUGUGCGGCCUUGCUGACGUGUCGUGAUCCUGGCCCCUCGGUGGCUCCGGUUCUGGAUCGUUUUGCCUCUCCUCUCGUUCGCCCAUUUCAUCUACAGGUGGGCCGGCGCACGCCAUCGCGGGUGGUUCUCCUCUCUGUGGGUGACCGCUUGGGUGUGAGCGGUUUCUGCGUCGGGGCGAGGGGGCGCGGGGUGGGUGCGCUUCGUCGACGUGCCCGGUUGUCGUUCGUCGACGGGUACACGUUGUGGCCCGCCGGGUAAGCUGCCCGGCUACGAUUCGUUCACACGGCACCGCACUGUUCGACGGCGCGGAGGGUGGUGGGUGGGUGGACUGUCCUUAUCCUGUGUUGCCGCCUGCCUUUUCUCCUCCCCUCUUCCUUUCGUUUUGUUUCGGUGCUCUCUCCUCUUCGUCGUCCUGCUUCUGGUCCGCGAGUCGUUGCUAGGGUUGUCCUUUUUCAUUGUUCACUGCCUCACCACCAUGGGCAGGAGGUUGUGUGCAGGACAUGGGAUCACCAUUUUCCACUCCAACAUUAGGUGGCAAUUCAUCAUUAACGUCAUCCGGCAAUUCAUUAAGGUCGAUCAUCCCCUGCUGCAUAAAUUUGCUCAAAAAUUGAAAAAGGCGCACAACUUACAAACAUUUUUUGGCAAAGUUAACUUGUUGUAGUGUCAAAUAAAGGAUAAUCCACAUAAUAGCGGCAGGCGAAGCAAUCAGUGAACAAAAGAAUGAAAGAAAUCCAGUCACAUGAAACAACAAAUUUUUUGUAUUCUUUUUCCAUAGAUUCAUUCAUCAAUCAACAUAGUUUUCUUGUUCCAAGCUAGAAAUCUACAUAGUCUAUAACAUCAUGGUUUUCUUUUUUACAUUUUACAGGAUACAAAUCAGAGUCAGAAAAGAGCAGUUGCAGAUAAUGUGAUGCAGAAUUUUUUGUUCUGAAUUUGGAGGCGGUUUUUGAACAUAUGUGAAACUUUGUAGUACUACUUUUAAAAGACAUGGUGGUUUGUUUUAGUUCAAUGUUUUACUUUGCAUUGAAACUAUGUUUCUUGUUUAGGGACAAGUUUCUUUAUUGAUAUGUGCCACUUGCACAACAUGUGCAACAAUGUGUGUGUGUGUGUGNNNNNNNNNNNNNNNNNNNNNNNNNNNNNNNNNNNNNNNNNNNNNNNNNNNNNNNNNNNNNNNNNNNNNNNNNNNNNNNNNNNNNNNNNNNNNNNNNNNNNNNNNNNNNNNNNNNNNNNNNNNNNNNNNNNNNNNNNNNNNNNNNNNNNNNNNNNNNNNNNNNNNNNNNNNNNNNNNNNNNNNNNNNNNNNNNNNNNNNNNNNNNNNNNNNNNNNNNNNNNCCCACAAUCUGUCAUUGGUAUAAACCAUCUUUGGUUUUUUGUUAUUGUUUUUUAUUUUUCAUUUAUGCAGGGGUAUGUGUGAUCUGGUGCAAUCCAGCAAGGUAUUAACUAGCAACAACUUAAUAGGAAUCAACCACAGUAUUAAGGUAAUUUUCUUUGACAAUCUGUUAUUUACAACAUGUUUCAUUUUUGUUAGGAUGUAGUUUCCCAACAAUUUCAAAUAGUUGCUUAACAAGUUGACAUAGAGUUGCUACAAUUUCAUAUACAUAAACAGAACAAGUGUUGGGGAGGGGACUCCUUUUUCUUAGCAAGCAUGCAUAUAGUCAUGCAAGUUCAGGGAUCAAAAGUAAGCAGUACUUGCCUGCAAUAUUGCCAACAGUUGCCUACUUUUUUCCUACAUUUCUAGUGUGCCAACAGUUCCCAACAUUUUUUCCUUUGUUUUUGUUGUCCAAAGUUGCCUAACAUAAACACACAAUUUGUCUGACACGUAACCUAGAACCGGCACACCUAAAAUCACGGGUGCACUAACUUCUUUUGCUAAAGUUUUAUCAACACACACAUUAUAUAUUGUUGUAGAAGGGCACCUUUUCUCGCAAGUACGUGUAGAGUCAUGCAUGUUUAAGUUCACUUCUUCACACUAGUUGCCUACAAAUCCCCUACAAUUGCUUACUAUUUCAAAGUUAGUUGCUUACAAUCUUGGCAUCAGUUGCUACAAAACUUUUACAAACAGCACCACACACAUACAUACACAAUAGUUGCCUACAAAUUACAUACUGUCUGCUUACUAUUCAGCAAUUAGUUGCUCGCAAUUAUGGCAACAGUUGCUGCAAAACUUUCAUAAACAACACCAAACACAUACACACACACUAGUUGCCUACCAAUUGCCUGCAGUUGCCUACUUUUUCCCAGUUAGUUGCCCACAAUACUGAUAACAAUUGCUACCAAAACUUUUAUGAACAACAUCAUAUACAUACACAUACACUAGUUGCUUGCAAACUGAACUAUCUUGCUCAAACCAAGCUCCCCAGUUGCUUAACAAGUUUUCCCCCCAUCUAAUUACGUUUUGUUUGCCCUUGCAGUAGAUGUGCCAGAAUCUAACCAAAUGGUGCCCAAAUCUCAAGACAGGAGGAAAUAGGGGAACUAAUUGUUGUCUUAAACAUGGGAUAAAAAAAGGUAGGACUUGUACCUUCUUCUCCCAGGGACAUGUGAUUGUUUUCCCCACAAAACCAUCAGUUGCCUGCAAAGCAUUCUGUACUUGCCUACAUCUCAACACAACUUGCCUUACAAAAUCGAAAUACCUACAACACCAACUCACCUGUUCAUGCACCCUACAACCUACAAACCCAAAACACAAACUAGCCCCAAAACCCCCAAGGAAAAACAGCCUAAGACAUGUUCUCCAAGGGCUUCUUUGUUUUUCUUUCUAGCUUACCACAAACUUGCUAAUGUUAAGCAUGUGACUUGCCUGUGUUUUUAUGUUGGCUGCACUUUUUAAGAAUUUAGGUUCUAUUCUUACCCCAAAACCAUCAGUUGCCUGUAGAACAUUAUGUACUUGCCCAAAUCUCAACACAAACUUGCUUAGGAACACCCACGUAGUUGCUGGUUGAAUACAUAUUACACAGGUUUUGGAUUACUUUUUUGUUCCAACGCACAUGAAGUUGCAUGCAUUGCCCCUGGAUGUUUUUCUUGUUCAUUCAUACCUAAGACUUGUGUUAUCUCUAUCCAGAAAAAGAGGUAGAUCUGAAGAGAACGAACAGGAGAAAAAGAGGUAGAUCAUGCUGAAGGAUAUUCUAUAAUCAAGGUAAAUUAAACUGCGCAACAGUCUCUCUUGUUUUUUUAGUUGCACAUUUACUUAUAUUCUUCUCAUAUUUUCACUAUUGAACCAAAGAACAAUGGAAACAAAUGCCCAAGAGGAAUGUUUGUCUAGCUUCUUCAGGAGUUGCUUGGACAAUAUUAUGUUUUUGCUUAAUCUUAUAAUGCAAGUUGCUCCAAUCAGCCAUUGUUUUGCUCCACAUAUAGCAAAUGAUCCGCUAGGAGAAAGCCUUGUUUUUGCGCUUCUUUUCCAUAAUGAGCUCACUGUUCAGUCUCUUAUAAGGUACAAAAAGGUUCAUGUUUUGCCAUGUCAUAAGAUACCAAAGUUGUGUGUAUAUCAUAUACUUAGUUGCUUCAUGAUAGCACUGUUUUUGCUCAAACAGAAUGUGUAAUUUGCCAAGAACAAAUUCAUAAGCAAGUAACAUAAUUGUAACACGUUGUAAACAGAGCAUGAUAGCACCGUUUUCAUCCUUUUCAGUAGCACUCUUGAAAAAGAAGUUGCAGCACAAUUUAGAUGAGUGUGCCGUUUGUAAAAAACUGCACAAAAGAGUCCAAAAAUUCUAGGAAGAAUCAACAAGACAGAGGAGUAGGUGUUUGGCAAAUUAAAUGGAAAAGCUAGGCAAAGCUGAUCUCCUUGUGUUUUUGCUUAGUUUCCUUUCAGUUUUUGUCAAUUUCCUUUGGCUGACAACCUCCCUAUGCCGCCAUUGCAGGGUGAACCAAGGUUGCACACCUCUUUUUCGUAGCUUGGGGGAGAAGAACAUGGGGAUGCGCGGGUGGGUAUGGUCAGAAGAAGGGAACGGCUUGGAGUCACGUGACAUGGGACCAAGUGGAGUUGGGUUGUGGGAGGGUGGACAUGCAAUUCGCGUGAUACAGUGAUGGACCGGCCGGUUUCCUCUUUUGCCAGGGGGACCAAAACCUUCCUUUUGUGGCCGGCUGCCACGGAUCACUAGGGAGCAAACGGUUGCUCCCUAGACGCGUCCUUAAAAAUUAUUCUUAGUACCCAAAUGAAUUGUGAACCCGGCCGGCUUAGCUAGUUUCCCGCCAGUUAGCUCUCGGGUCACACACUCCGUAUCCGAGUGAGAGCAGAACUCGAUAGUCUAGCUUGUCCCUUGCCAACUGAUGAAUCAAUCACGAGACGCCAUGGAGCAGCCACCGCUGAAACGGAGGCAUCAGACAGGAGAUUCGGCGUUGCCGGAGGAGCUGCUGGUGGAGAUCUUUGCUCGUCUGCCGGCCAAGUCGGUACGCCGCUUCCGCUGCCUGUCACGUUCGUGGGCCGCCACGCUCUCAUCGUCCUCCUUCACCGACCUCCACCUCGAGCGAGCGAAUCAACGAGAAGGCCCGCCCAAGCUCCUGUUCACGACUGUGCAGUACCGCUUCCACGCAUGGCGGCACGGCACUGGUUCUGUGGUGGCGGAGCAGCUGACCGCCGGCGUCCUACCUCUCCCGUGACUUGAGCCGGACUGCGCUGUCGAGGUGCUCACCGCCAAGCCAUGCCAUGGCCUCGUCCUGCUCCGCCGCAAGUACUUCCGUGGCUACUACCUGUGCAACCCGUGCACCGGCGAGCUCUCGCUUCUCCCGGACAGCGAGAUACCGUCCAAGAUCAUGUUCGGGCAGCAGCGGCGGCACAGCAACAACAGCCUAGUGGCCUACGGCCUGGGUUACAGCUCCAAAGCGAAGCAACAUAAAGUCGUACGUCUCAUCUCCCUGCACGACGAAGGAACGGCGAGUUGCGAGGUCUUGCCGCUCGACGGCGUGUCCGUGCACUGGAGGCCGGCCGCUCACCAGCCGGCCGCCUCGUGCAAUAGUCAUCACGCCUCCGUUGCGCGGCCAGAGGCAGCCGUGUUCUUCAAUGGACAUCUGCACUUUCUCCAGCACCACCGCCAGGGCCAGGGCGUCAUUACCACUUUCGACAUCUCCGACGAGUCCUUCAGCUCGUUGUCGGCGCCGCCGGGACUAGAGAAUGUUCCAUUUGGGCUGGCUGUGUUGGAUGGAUGCCUGUGUGCCCAUUAUAAUGGCCUUUCUCUGAGUGGCGGCGAUGACCCAUUCUAUAUCUCGCGGCUCGUGAGAGCAAGUGGGCAGUGGGAGCAGCUCUGCUGCAUCCAGCGACAAGCUUGGCGUGCACUGCUGCCGCCGUCAAAAUGGGUCUAUCCGCUCGAAAUCUACCACGACGGCGGCCGCAACAAGAAGAUCAUGUUCGCCACAGGUGUUUCAACUGUUUUUGUGGUAGACCUCGGCCGCAAGGCGGCGGCCCCGGAGAUUGUGUUCUCACCGGCGAUGCUGGGCCGCGACGUCGACGAUGCAAUCAUGGAAAGCGAACCCCACCAUACCGUGGGCCUGUUGGAGGAGAGCCUGGUGUCGGUAGGCCGCACGAACGAGGAGAUGAUCUUCUCGUCGCCAUGGAGAAAUGCUUGGUCAGAUGUCCUCAAGCGGCUGCCGGCUCGUUCCGUUGCUUCACUGAGCCAUGUGUGCAAAGACUGGCACGCAGUGGUCAAGAGCAACAGAUUCAUGCAACAGCACACACUACUCCACGACGCAAAUCAGAACUUACUGAAAGUGAUGCUCCUGGAGCCCUACCAUGUCGUCUUCUUUCCUCUACAGCCAAUGCAUGAGCACCAACAGCCAUCUUCUAAUCUCAGAGUGGUAUGCUCCUCCAAACCCGUGCACGGUCUAGUCGUCGGCAGCUGCAUCGACUGGAAGGGUACUUCAUGGGAUUUCAUCUGCAACCCAAGCGUGGGCUACUACAAGCCCAUAUCUGAGGAGUACGACGGCGAAGAUGGAUCCUUCUUUCCGGGAAGGAUCGGGUUGGGGUACGAUGCAAGGACGAAGAAGCACGUGCCGGUGCUCCUCAUCUACCAAGAGAGAAACUUCGCAACUCGAAGCUACCAGCUCGACUGCUUUGUCCAGCUCAUUGAUACCUCGUGUCACUGGACUCCGAUCAGCACUCCCCCUAGGCCGGUCGCCGACAUGCAGCCGGCAUACGCGCGAGGUAAACUCUAUUGGAUGGUGGAUCCUGAUAUUUGCACAGAACCUUCAAGAGGACGACGCGAGGUGUUGGCGUUGGACGUUAGCACCAAAGAAUUCGAGGUGUUGCAGGGACCUCGAUGCGACUAUGAGCGCGUUACGUCCAUCGUUGAGCUCCUAGGCAGCAUUUGUGUUGUCUGCUCCGACGACAGAGCCAACGCUAUGGAUAUAUGGACCUUGGAGGAAGGAGUAGAUUGGUUGUUGGGUCAUCGGAUCCAGCUCGGGGACGAGUACUCGUCGGACGAGACUACACCAUUGGCUCUUGAUCCCCAAGGUGACUGGAUAUUUCUCAACACAGGCAAGGAGUUGGCAUAUUACUACCCAAGGACAAGGACACUCACCACCAUUUGCCCCAUUGGACAACGCUUAGAUGGCAUGGAGGUUAUCCCAAUGUUCUCCAAAGAAAGUUUGAUCCGUCCCCGUACUGAACAUAUAGACCUUAGUGUAUAUUGCAAGUUGUUUCUUAAUUGAGCUUCUUAAUUAGUUCUUGCCCCAUGGGAGCAUGCACCGUGCAUAUAGGAUCAACUAGGUGAUACAUUUAAAUGAGAUUUCAUUGUAUGGAAUAUAAAUAUUUAGAAUUUUUCUGUGAGAAUAUAAAUAUUUAGAUUAAUAACACGCGAACCAAAAUUAAAAAUACAUAUGUAUUUGAUUAUGUAUUGUUGAAAACCGACUAAAAACCACAGAGAAAAAUUAAUCAAAAUCCCUCGUGGGUUGAGUGGGCUGGCCAUUUUGCCCUGCCUUCAGCGAAGCCGGUGCCCAUUUGACGUGCACGGGAAAUUCAGCAGUUUUUAUUGUUGAAAACCAACUAUAAAACCAAAGAGAAAAAUAUAUAAAAAAUGGCUCGUGGGCUGAGUCCGUGGCUUCGGCGAAGCCGUGCCUAUUAAACGUACCCGGUCGACAUGACAUCAAGAAGAACAGCUAGGGCCGCUACAGGUCGGUGAUUACAAAAAUAAAACUUCGAGCUUCUAAUUUUAAUUGUAAUUUCAUUUUUGAAGGGCAAGCCGUCAACGGCGAAGCCCAUAGUCUAGCUAAGCACUCCCUUACUCUCGGUUCAGGGCGCCACGUUUGGUUGGCUAACCCUCACGAUCCGAUCUGUAUCCCACUCCAUGUGAAUUAUCAUCAAUAAAGCUUAGCAUUCUCCUAAAAAAAAUUUAGACGUAUGGGGUACAUAGGAGCUCUCGUGUAACGUGGCUGCAUUGAGGAAGCUGUAGCUGCUUCCGGGGUCUGACAAGAAUCAUCAGGACUUGGUUGUCUGGAGAUUCGGUUCCGGACAAGGCAUUAUGGACAAGCUCUGCCUCAGUCAGAUCAUGCAUUACCAUCAUGUUUAAUAUUUCCAUCACCGCGCACCGGAACCUGAUUCAAAAGCUCCUCGAACUGCUGCUGAUACUCUUCCACAUCGCUGCGUUGCUUGAGUGACAACAGUAAGGCCUUCAUGUGUUUCCGAUGAAAUCGACCGCCCGAUCCUCAACCGUUCGCCGGGAAUUUACAGCUCAAGGUCACGAGAAUCGGGAAUCAGCCCCACGGUCGAUACCAACUGCCGGCGUGAUUGCCGACGUACGUGAGGUUCACAAUGCCUGACUUGGGAGAGAAGAAGAAGAAGACAUGGACGAGAAGUAGGAGUAGAGUUUAGUUUACUUUUAUCUUCAGACAUGAUUGUAGUACAGCACACAGCUUAUAAGCCCCACACAGGUGGCACGCAGGCCACACACGAUAACUUAACACACACUAGCGUCACCUUAUUUACCGUCGUCCUCAUCGAUCGGGUGGCGCACUCCUGCAAUCUACUCCAGACGUGAUAUAGAUUCUCUACUUUUCGAUGCACAGCAGCACGAGCAUAACAACGCUCAUCGCCAAAGAGAGGAGCCAAAGUAUCAGCAGCGCAACGUCCUGCAGCAGUUGAGCUAAACGGGUCAGUUCAGUUCAGUUCAGCAGCGAUACCAUUAAUUACCAGCAUGCAAGCACAUGUUCAAUCUCAACUCAUCGGGAAUAGUAAAGCUGCAAACAUCGCUCGUUGGAAAAUAGUGAGUUUUCUUAGGAAAUUAUGGAAAUCAGUACUAUACUUGAGAAGAUCAGAUUCUGGUCUUCUAGAUUGUCAAGCACAUUACCGCUGCUGCCGGCGCCGGAGAAUUGGCCACGUUGUUCACUGCAAGAGCUACCAUCAGCAGAGCCAGGAAGGUCUUCCCAACGACCAGAAACAUCAUGCAACACUUGUUGUCCUUCUUCUUCUUCUUCCAGGCAUUGGCAUUCGCUGCAGAAGCAGCCUGCAGCAGUCAGCUCAACAGGUCAGCUCAGUUACCAGCAUUCAAGCACAUGUUCCAUCUCUAGUCAUCGGCGAUAGUAAAGCUGCACUCAAGCACAUGUUCAUCAUGAAAAUUAACAAGGGUUUUUAUCUGCAGCUUCUAUGGAAUAUAGUACCCCCCUCAGAUUCAUAUUACUUGUCGCCCGUUUAGUACAACUUCUAUGAAAAUUAACAAGGGUUGUUCACAAGCGAUCAGGUACUUCUUUUUAGAAACACUUUUAGAAAAUGAAGGAAAACAGUACUUUUGAGAAAAUCACUGGCAUAACAAUGAUUGUGAAGCACAUUACCGCUGCUCCCGGCGCCGGAGGAUUGGCCGCCGCCACUGCCGGUGGAUUGGCCACGUUGUUGGCCGCUGCGGCUGCCGGAGGAGCGUCCAUGGUGUCCGAGCACGCUUGCGGAGAGAGCGGUAAGAGAUGGAGCAGAGUAUGCGCUGUGGAGCGGAGGGUUUUCUGUAACCAACGAUGGAAUGAACCGAGCAAGCAGUAGUAGUAGUGGCCAGCGGCCAACCGAUGGAGUAGAUCGACAAUAAUUUGUUUAUCAUUUCAGGUGUAGCAAAGGCUCCAGUAGGACAGCCCCGAGGCUCCCGUUCCGGGAAAAACUCCAGAUGGACAGUGGAAACCGCGUGUGGAGUUUGGACGUUCACAUGAGGCAUCGCAUGUGAAACCGGAGCUGAAAAAAUGGCAACACUAGCCAUCUCUCAUAUAAAGCAGGCAGGUAGACUGAAAUGGCAACGCAGUUAUGCAAUGCAACGACCCGCCUGCACGGUGCACCGUCUCUCCAUGGUUUCAUCGAGCACCGCUCAUUCGUGUGACUGGCUCAAGGUGUCACGGAAUCGGUACAUUACAUUUCAGGCCGUGAUGAUCCGAUAUGCCAUGAAAAGAGAAAGUCAAUUUUCCAUGAAGCAACAUUUUUGCUUGUUAGAUUUAUUUAUUUAUUUUGAGGGAACAACGGUACUUUACUGAUCAACAAUGUUCAUAGGGAUUGUUACAAUAUCAUGAGGUUGUGUCAACAAGCAAUGCCUACCAAACUCUAAAGAAAAAGAAAAUUUUGCAAACUAUCCGCUUCUAGUUUUAUACAUGAAAUUCCAAGCCUAAGAAAUUCCCUUGUGGGUAAUAAGCUCCUUGAUUACCGCUGCAUGUUGUUCUCCAGUUUUAUCCGCAAUAUCCUUGACGGCAGUUGCACUAUCUGAUGAGAUGAGGACCUAUUUAGAUCAUCUGCCAAGGCUUGAGCUUCUCUCCAAGCCAAAGCUUCCAAGUUUGGGAAAUCAGUAUUAUCAAUGAAGGUGAUUGAUGAUAACCUGAGGUAUAAGUCAUUGUGAUCUCUACAAAUUCCUGCAACUGCUCGUCCACCCCCAUGUCGCGCAACAGCUCCGUCGACAUUACACUUGGCAAAACCAAUCGGUGGCAGUGUCCAUGUUAACCUUCCAGACUCUUUCUUCCUUGGUUGAACUUCUUUCUUAUUUUUGUCCCCAACACGCAUGCAGAGUUUUGGACAAACAGAUGAGUUGAAACAAGCGGUUGGAACUCAUUUUCAUAGAUCACUUUUCAGCAGGCCGACCAAAUCGCCCAAAGUGUUACUGCAAUCAUCACAAAGUCAGCAUGCGAUAAGGAACCCUUUAUCAUAAAAAGCAACUCAUUUGCAUUGCCCUCAUCUGUCAAAAUCAUAUGUUCCACCACUUCUGGAUUUACCAAUGCCCAUACACUUAUAGACAUGGAACAGUCUAGAAGAGCAUGACGCCAGAAGUCUUCUCUUCGCAACGAAGAGCAUCAUAGGGAGGGAGCCAUACUGCGAUUGUUAGGUGUAUCGAAAGUUGACAUCAAGUGCAAAGAUAUUCUCCAUAAAAAUACCUUUAUAUUCGACGGGACAAGAGUACUCCAAAGCUUACACCAAAUCCCCUCCUUCAGCAGCAGUUGUCGAUGACCCAGAUUUAUGAAAUAGCCACCCUCUUCUUGAUUGUACUUGGUCUGAACCAUCAUUCGGUAGGCUGAGCGGGCACUGAAAAUACCUCUUUUAUCAUGAGCCCAAGACCUAAAAUCAGAUAUAUUAGAGCAUCUCCAACGUGCGCACAAAAACUGCUCCGCGCGCAAAAAUUCGUGUUUUUUGGGCGCCGGACAGCUCAAACAGAAGCUGUAAAAUAGUGCACGCGCUAAAAAGCGCUAUCAGAAGCUGCAAAUUUGGGGUGCCGGAUAGCGCGCUUCACAAUUUACACUGUGUGUUUUUUUGAGCGCAUGUUUUUGAGCAUCUGCUAAACCAAUGUUGGGUCCGGCGAGGUAAAAGUGCUACAGUGGCGCGCUAAAACUAUUUUAGCGCGCGGAAUUUUUAUGCGCCUGUUGGAGAUGCUCUUAGGGGUGCACAAACGGAUUCUUAGGAUGACCGAGGCAUCCAUAGGUAAGAGGUGUUGCGCACCAACUCCUCCCUCCAACAGGUUAAAGUUUGGUCAAUAAGUUCACUAACCAUAGAUACAUUAGCAUGAUUUGGAGGAGUAAUCUGUCUCACUGCUCCCUCUCCAAUUAUGACCCCAUAUCUUCGUCGUCACACGGUUUCCAAUUUUCCUGAUUAAGCCCUAGGUAAGGAUAUCCCUUCCCUCAACAAUAGAUCUUCAUAUUUGUGAAGGACGUGAACCAAGAUUGGUGCCAGGGUCCUUCAGAAUUAACACCAAAAAAUACUUGUUAUUGACUCCACGAUGUCCUUACCCUCAAUGAUUAUAAGAACAGUUCGAGUGACAUCCGGUCCACACACUUCCCAGUGAUGCAUCUAAACUCUGGCCCCACACACUGGCCGGGUGUGAAAAUGAAGGCACGCCACCGGUAACCUAUUAGUGCUGGCGUACCAAAUAUGCUCACUCCACUCGUAUUUUGGAAACAUAGUGGUGGUGUGGAUUGAAAGGAGCACCCCAUCAAUUAAGAUUGUGUAUAAGCAUUUCUGUACCAGUGAGUAGCAAUGCCUUCAGGAAGGAAACAAUGUUCAAACGUCGUUGUUACCGGAUCCAACCACCAAUGGUUAGAUCCUUGGUUUCACCUUGAAGAUAAAGUACAAGCAAUUCCUUCGACAAGGUUAUAACGCAAAACACCGCCAUUGCCAUGUAUAACUAACUAGGGUCAAACCUAAGAUUUUCACGCCGGAGCUCGAGACUGGGUACUCGAGAAGCACCAAGAAAUCAAAGUCAUCAUGUGUUGCCGCCGUCGUCCCCCGCCUGGGCCUUGCCCCACGGAGCUCCAACGGCGGCUCAAAGCCCUAGAUCGGGUCGGGAGGGAGGGGGUCGGUAGGGAGGGAUACGGUCAAGGAGAGCAGCGGCGGCAGCACCUUUAUGCUUAAAAUAAAGUCAUUCUUAGUUUUAAGAUUUGAAUUUUGAUGAGAUAUACUUUUUUAGGAAAAUAUACAAUUUGUUUCCGUAAUUAACGUAUGGGUAUACCUAGGGCCUCUCAUUGCACGGGGCCUCUCAUUUCUCCGGUACGGCCUGCAGAUCAUGCAUUACCAUCCUGUUUAAUAUUUCCAUCACUGCUCCUUGGACUACAUGUAAUUCAGCAAUAGCCUUGAUGAGUUGGGUCGUACUGUUCCCCGGAGCGAAAACAAAGUGUAUCGGUACGCCCAAAAUCCCCGAGCUACCAAAGUGUUCGGGUACCUCUGGUUUGUGUCCCAGAUGUUCAGUACGGCCAUGCUGCAGGAAGGGACGAGGUGCCCAGCCCACUGUAUGAGAUCUUCAGUUACCUCCUGCUGAACUUGUGGCAAUAGACAGGCCACGGAUAAAUUGGGAUACAAAGAAUUGCUCGUCGUACUAUGGGUUGUGGACUGAAAUCUGCUGCCGAUACUCUUCCACAGCGCUGCGUUGCUUGAGUGAGAGUAAGGCCUUCUUUUUUUUCGAUAAAGGACUUUUCAUUGAAUAGAUAUAUCGAGGUGAUAUGAUCGUAUCGAAAGAAAGCCCGGUCUCUGCAUAGCUAGAUGCACACAGCCAAAAAGUCGAGAGUGCCCUAAGAAUAAUAAAAAUAAUUCGGUACAAAGCGAAGCAAAUAAAUCAUGUCGAGGCUAAGGUGCAGUAGACCCUAUCCGUAGAUCACACCGCCAUCCAUGGGGGUAGAAAACCUCCCUGGCCGAACGCUCCAGCCGUGUAGACGCCAUUAUAAAAAGGUCCCUGUUCUCCGGCCUCUGCAGGAUAGACCAAGUAUGGAGCCAUCGUGCACAAACAUGAAUAACUUGCAUAGGAGAUGAGACACAUUUGUUAUUGAAGAUCACAUCAUUCCUGGUAAGCCACAGUGCCCAGCAUAAGGCCGCCGCUCCCACGAGAGUAAGGCCUUCAUGUGUUUCCGAUGAAAUGAAAUUGACCGCACGAGAAUUGGGAAUCACCACCGUGUACCCCGGCCACAGCCCGUCUGUCGAUACCAACUGCCAGCGUGAUUGCCGACGUGAGGUUCACUAUGCCUGACUUGGGAGAGAAGAACGAGAGGUAGGAGGAGAGUUCAGUUUACAUUAUUCUUCAGACGUACUAGAAGAGUGUUGUUUUUCAGUUUUACAGCACAAAGCUUAUAAUUAAGCUCCACACACACACGCUAGUACGCGACGCACGAUAGCUUUAACUUAACCCACACUUGCGCCACCUUAUUUACGCUCGUCCUCAUCGGGUGGCGCACUCCUGCAUUCUUCCCCAGGCGUGACAUAGUUUUCUACUUUGCGAGGCACGCCAGCACGAUCCAAUACACGCUCACCGCCAAAAUGCCGAGCAAACAUAUCAGCAGCAGAACGUCCUGCAGCAGUUGAGCUCAACGGAUCAGCUCAGUUCAGUCUAGCUAGCAGCGAUGCCAGCAUGCAAGCAAGCACGUACACGUUCAAUCUCAAGUCACCGGGAUAGUUUACGGGCAAAGGAAGGAAAUUAAAUAGUAGCAACAUCGAUAUAUCUUGACAGAAAUAAGUUUGAAUCACAUUACGUACCGCAGCUCCACACGCUGGCGGCGCCGCCUCUGCUGGUGGAUUGACGACCACAUUCGCUGGUGGAUUGACGACCACAUUCACCACCACCUGCAACAGUUGAUAGAAAACUGGAAUUAGUUCGAAUCGGAACGCCGGAGGAAUGGCAAGGUUGAUUUGUGAACCACAUACCGCAACCGCCGGAGGAUUGGCAAGGUUGUUGGCUGCUGCUGCCGCCGGAGGAUUGCCAACCUUGUUGGCUGCUGCUGCCGCCGGAGCUUUGUCCAUGGCGUCCGCGCGUGCAGAGAGAGAGAUAGAGAUAGNNNNNNNNNNNNNNNNNNNNNNNNNNNNNNNNNNNNNNNNNNNNNNNNNNNNNNNNNNNNNNNNNNNNNNNNNNNNNNNNNNNNNNNNNNNNNNNNNNNNNNNNNNNNNNNNNNNNNNNNNNNNNNNNNNNNNNNNNNNNNNNNNNNNNNNNNNNNNNNNNNNNNNNNNNNNNNNNNNNNNNNNNNNNNNNNNNNNNNNNNNNNNNNNNNNNNNNNNNNNNNNNNNNNNNNNNNNNNNNNNNNNNNNNNNNNNNNNNNNNNNNNNNNNNNNNNNNNNNNNNNNNNNNNNNNNNNNNNNNNNNNNNNNNNNNNNNNNNNNNNNNNNNNNNNNNNNNNNNNNNNNNNNNNNNNNNNNNNNNNNNNNNNNNNNNNNNNNNNNNNNNNNNNNNNNNNNNNNNNNNNNNNNNNNNNNNNAGAGAGAGAGAGAGAGAGAGAGGCGAGAGAUGGAGAAGCGUAUGUGCUCGACGGAAUCAGCCGAGUAGUAGUAGCCAGCAGCCAACCGAUCGAGAAUAAUUUGUUUCUCGUUUCGGGUGUAGCAAUGGCUCCGGUAGGACGGCCCCGAUAAGCUCCUGUUCCGGGGAAAGCUCUAGAUGGACUGUCGAAACCGCGUGUGAAGUGUCGACGUUCCCCAUUACCACCACAUGCAUGUGAAACCAGAGCUGAAAAAAAUGGCAACACUAGCUAUCCGGUUUCGUAGCUAUCCCUCAUAUACACAGAAAUGGCAACUCAAUUAUGCAGUGCAAGGACCGCCUGCACGGUGCACCUUCUCUCCAUGAUUCCAUGUUCGUGUGACUGGCUGGAGGAGUCACGGAAUCGGUAUACAUGAAUGUGGACACGGCAGAUGCACGUAUACAUUGCAUUUAAGGCCGUGAUGAUCCGAUAUGCCAUGAAAAUAAUGUCGAUUGCUGGGCAUAGUAAGUAGACCCGGAUGGCGCGCAUUGCCAAACCUUUCAGUUUUGACGAUAGGAUGAUAUAACUCUACAUAAAUAUAUGGUUGUAUGGAAUGAGAAAGUUAAUUUUUCAUGAAGCAACAUUUUUGCUUGUUAGAUUUUUUUGUUUCAAGGGAACAACUUUACAUUAUUGAUCAAUGUUCCUAGGGGUUGUUACAAGAUCAUGACGCUGUGUCAACGAGACAUUCCUACUAAACUCUAAAGGAAAAAGAUAAGUUUGCCAAACCUCAAAAUCUCCCAUGCAGGCAAUAAGCUCCUUGAUUGCGGCAGCAUGUUGUCCUCCUGCUUUUUCCUCAAUAUCCUUGAUGACAGUUGCAUUAUCCAAUGAGAUGUGUCGAGGGGAUGGACCCUGGGCGGGCGACGGAACCCGGAUCCUUUCAAAAACAUCAGGGCCGGCACUCAAUCCGGCUCGCCCUGCGGGCUUCCCAAUGCAACCCGGCCAGGCGCCGCACCCCGACCAGCCAGCAAGCGCAUGCCGACUGGUCCCAAGAAGACAAUCUCCAGAGACAAAUAAGUGUGGCCACGGUAUGGUUAUAUGGAACAAGGAACUUAUUUUUUCGUGAAGCAACAUCUUUGCGAUUGUGAGGUGUAUCGAAAGUUGACAAGAGUGCUCCAAAGCUUACACUAAUCUCUCCCUUCAGCUGCAGUUGUCGAGAUGACCCAGAUUUAUGAAAGAGUAAAAUAUAGUGAAGGUCAUAAAAGUAUUCCAAGUGUGUUAAGUUGGUCCUACAAGUUUAAAAUCGUUCACUGCGCGCGGAUCCUAUGUGUAUUUUACUCACAACUUCUAGGACUUGGAAUACUUUUAAGACCCGCGGUGAACGACUUACACACAUUUAGGACACGUGGUGAACGAUUUUAAACUUUUAGGACCUACUUGGCACAACUGAAAUACUUUUAGGACCUUCGAUGUAUUUUACUCUUUAUGAAAGCAGCCACCCUUCUCGAUUGUACUUGGUCUGAACCAUCAUUAGCUAGGCUGAGCGGACACUGAAAAUGCCUCUUUGAUCAUGAGCCCAAGACCAAAAAUCAGAUAUAUUAGGGGUGCACAAAGGGAUUCCUAGGAUCACCGAGGCAUCCAUAGUAAGAACGUGUUGUGCACGAAAUCCUCCCUCCAAGAGGUCGUAGUUUGGUCGAUAAGUUCACGCGCCAUAGAGAUAUUAGCAUGAUUUGGAGUAGUAAUCAAUCUCACUGCUUCCUUCGAGGCGACCAAUUAUGAACUCAUAUCUUCGUUGUCACACCAUCUUCGGUUUUCCUGAUCAAGCCCUAGGUAAGGACAUCCCUCCCCUCAACACUAGAUCUUCAUAUUUGUGAAGCAUGUGAACCAAGAUUGGCUUCCAAAAUCGAAGGCCCCAGGAGGUUUACAAAUUUCAGAAUUCUGGAACUCAAAGAAUUCAGGUCUUGUACGAACCUCCACGUCUGCCGCGCGAGCGGAACGAAGUUAUAUAAUUACAAAUCUCUGAACCCCAAAUCUCCCAUUGAUUUAGGUUGAAUCGUGAUAUCCCAUGAAACCCAUGCCACUUUUUUACAGCUCUAUCAAAACUUUCUAAUCAUUUUAUUCAUGUGUUCACAAAGACCUCGAGGUAAUUUAAAUCACCCCAUAGAAUAUACUGGGAUAACCUGCACAACAGACUUGAUCAAGACGUCCCCCCUCCCACAGAUACGAGUUUGUCAAGCCAGCCCUAAAUUUUUGUUCCAAAUUCUAUCUUAAAAUACUUGAAAGUCCCAUUUUUGGAUGUUCUAACAUCAGUAGGCAAACCCAAAUAUUUUCCACUUAAGGAUUCAUUUUUCAUGUUAAGCCUAGAUUUACCUCGUCUGUGACACUAUGAGAGCACCCUUUUCUAAACAAAAAUGAAAACUUCUCUAAAUUGUUUUUUUGUCCUAAAGCCUUGCAGUAAGUCUCCAAAAGGUUUUAUGCUUCUUCAGCCCCUCUUUACUUGCUUUAAAAAAUAAUAGGUUAUCAUACGCAAACAGUAAGUAAUUCACCGGAGGUACCGACUGAGCCACUUUAAUUGCUCUUAUGUAUGAUGACUGGUCAAAAUACUUCAGGAGGCAUGAAAGGCCCACUAGUAGAAAAAGGACCUAAUGUGAGACACAUUAGUCCCGGUUUGAUUUUGGCCCGGUACUAAUGGUACCAUUAGUGCCGGUUCGAAUGGCUAUGCAUUAAUGCCGGUUCGUGUUGAACCUUUAGUACCGGUUCGUGCCACGAACCGGUACUAAAGGGGUGGUGGCAGGCUGGCGUCAGGCCGGGGCCCCACGAUCACCUUUAGUACCGGUUCGUGGCACAAACUGGUACUAAAUGGCUAACCUUUAGUACCGGUUCGUGCCAUGAACCGGGACUAAAGGGGUCUGACCUAUAGUCCCGGUUGGAGACACAAACCGGUACUAUAGGGCAAUUUUCAAACUCCACCCCNNNNNNNNNNNNNNNNNNNNNNNNNNNNNNNNNNNNNNNNNNNNNNNNNNNNNNNNNNNNNNNNNNNNNNNNNNNNNNNNNNNNNNNNNNNNNNNNNNNNNNNNNNNNNNNNNNNNNNNNNNNNNNNNNNNNNNNNNNNNNNNNNNNNNNNNNNNNNNNNNNNNNNNNNNNNNNNNNNNNNNNNNNNNNNNNNNNNNNNNNNNNNNNNNNNNNNNNNNNNNNNNNNNNNNNNNNNNNNNNNNNNNNNNNNNNNNNNNNNNNNNNNNNNNNNNNNNNNNNNNNNNNNNNNNNNNNNNNNNNNNNNNNNNNNNNNNNNNNNNNNNNNNNNNNNNNNNNNNNNNNNNNNNNNNNNNNNNNNNNNNNNNNNNNNNNNNNNNNNNNNNNNNNNNNNNCCUUCGAGAGGUAGUUAUAUUACUACAUCUACUAGUUAGGAAAAUUUGAAAACUUCAAUUUGGACAUGUUUUGCAAAAAGUGUAGGGAAAAUGUAAAACGGCUAUAACUUUUGCAUACGAUGUUAGAAAAAAGUAUAAUAUAUCAAAAAAUUCAGCACGAAAAUCCGUAUACGAUUUUGACUGCCUAUGGCCUGUUUGCAAUUUUUUAGAACCCUCAAAUUCCAAAAGGAAAAAAAGAUAUGCUCAAAUUUCAGUUUUUUUGGUUAAAUCUGGUCAAACUAUGGUCAAACUACUUAUUCAAGAAGUAUUAAUGUUACUACAUAAUUAUUCAAGAAUAUUAGUGUUACUAAAUAAUUAUUUCAAUUUUUUGAAUUUUGGUCAAAUCUGGUCAAACUAUGGUCAAUCUAUGGUCAAACUGUGGUCAAACUUAUUAAAAAAAUAUUAGUGUUACUAAAUAAUUACUGUUUUUUAGAAUAAUAGUUUCAAACUCAAACGGUGAAACGUGUGACCUAAUGCUCAAGCUAAACUGCUGAGGGUUAAUAGGAUUGUCAGCUUACAUUUGUCAGGAAAACAACAAGUGCAGACUUGGAAAGUAGAGGGAAUAGAACUCCGAAGUUAAGAGUGCUCAGGCUGGGGGAGUGAGAGGAUGGGUGACCGGCCGGGAAGUUAGACGAUUUGGAAUGAGUGAUCCACACUUGAGUAGUUAAGAGGGGUGAUUAGAGACUAAAUCAUCAAAUAAUUCAGAAAAAUGAAAAUCGAAAAAAAAUCAAUUUUUUUUCCAAAAUUUUCAGAAUUUAAAAAAAAAACCUUUAGUACCGGUUGGUAACACCAACCGGUACUAAAGGUCCCCCAUACCACAGCGCGAGCUCAUGCCACGUGGUGGGCCUUUAGUGGCGGUUCGUGCCGAACCGGUACUAAAGGGGGGGCCUUUAGUCUCCACUCUUUAGUGCCGGUUGCAGAACCGGCACUAAAGGCCCUUACGAACCGGUGAUAAAGCUUCGUUUUCUACUAGUGGCCCUCUGCUGCCAGCAAAAAGAGGUAAGAUGGAAGAGGAUCUCUAUGUCGGAUACCUCCGAUGGGUUUUAAUUCAUCCAACUUCUUUUCACUGAACAUAACAGAAAAAGAAACAAAGCUCACCAUGUUCAUAACUAUCGAGGUCCACUAUUGAGAAAAGCCGAACUUCAUCAUAAUUGCUUCAAGAUAAGUCCAUUCAACCUGGUCAUAAGCCUUCUUCAUGUCAAGUUUUAGAGCGCAUGACCUAUGUUUUUGGACUUUGUUCCUCUUCAUAUGUAAGCAUUCAUAAGACGAUCACUACAAAAAAAAGACACAUCCGUGACAUUUUGGGCCGAACGAAAAAAAAUUCUGUCAUACUUAUGACACUUCUAUGACGAGAAUUGUGACAAAACCCGGUAUCAUCAUAGAUGUGGUGGGCUCCUACUUCUAUGACAAAAAAUCAUGACAGAAAAUGGGCUUUUCGUCCUGGGCGGGCCGGAGAUGCAGCUGCAUGACAUUCUUUGGGCCGUCCAUGACGGAAAAAACCGUGGUAGAAGCGAGGGCGAGGAAAAUAUCGGGGUGUUCCCGGUUACGGUGGGUGGUCGGGGCCGAGCGAUGCGCGUUUCUCUCGUACAUGCACGCGCGUGGGUGCGAGGCCUUGGGCUCUAACUGAACCUGAGUGAGCUGUUCACCUACUGAACCCGAGCGAUUGCACUGCAGGCUACGCAUUACUGAACCCGAGCGAUCGAUCGAUGGCUGUUAUCUGAACCCGAUCGAGCGAUUCCUUUGCUACUGCUGCUAACUGAAGCCGAUCGAUGCUGCCUCUGGAUGAACAGUGAGCGUUGCUGGGGGGGUUUGGAUGAACAAUUCCCGGUGGGGGUGGAUGAACAAGACCCCGUGGUGUUGCCUCUAGAUGAACAGGACCCCGAUCGAUCGAGCCGGUUGGGGCUGGAUGAACAGGACCACGUGGAGGGCUGGAUGAACAGGACCACCCCGUGGAGGGCUGGAUGAACAGUAGACAGUGGAGGGCUGGAUGAACAGUAGCCCGUAGAGGGGUGGUUGAACAGGAGCCCGUGGAGAGGGCUGGUUGAACAGUAGCCGGUGGAGUAGCGCGCGGUGGAGGCUGGAUGAACAGGAGCCCGUGGAUGAACAGUCGCAGGUGGAGGCUGUAGGAGGUCGACGGUGGAUGAACAGUAGCCCGUGGAGGCUGGAGGGGGUCGACGGUGGAGAUGAACAGAAUCCCGUGGAGUCCCGUUUUGCGGUACGCCACACCCCUCCCAAUGAACAGGACCCCCGUUUCGACCGUAGCACUCCAACACAAGUCUGUUUCCUCCGUUUUGCGGUACGCCACACCCCUCCCGAUCAACAGGACCUCCGUUUCGACCGUAGGAGGUCCGUUUCCUCCGUUUUGCGGUACGCCAGACCCCUCCCGAUGAACAAGAUGCCGUUUCGAACAUGGUCGGUCGAACACAAGGCCGUUUCCUCCGUUCUGCGGUACGCCAGGCCUCGUUUCCAUCGGCUGUUCCGUCCAAGACGGUUGGCUCCCACGCAUUUUGUUGCCUCCCGAUGAACACGACGCAUUCCGUUGCCUCCCCAUGAACACGACGACGACGCAGUUUCUCCGUUCCGAGCCAGCCAUGUACACGAGCCCUGGCCGUACGUAUGCGCGAGUAGGCGUUCGAGACCCCGCCCGUAUGUACGUACGUGGCCGUAUUUACUUUCUUGCAACAUGGCCGCUGUAUGUACGUGUACAUGCUACGUGCGCGCCUCUACUACCACACGUGCCCUUCCUUGCACGGCCAUGGUUCAUCGCUGCAGCCUGCAGACAGACCGAUCGACCAGUAUGUACGUACACGUUCGCGACCAGAAUGACAACGCUACGUACGCUUCGACCAGGUGGGUCCCGACAGUCAGGCACUUCCUUGCGUGCGAAGAUGUAGCUGGUGGGUCCCAGCAGUCAGGGGGCGAAUCGUUUUUUUUUUGCCCGGACGCACUUCCUUGCGUGCGAAGAUGUAGCUGGUAGGUCCCAGCAGUCAGGGGGAAACAUUUUUUCACGAAAUACGAUUGCCCGUCUGGUGGGUCCCUGCUGUCAAAUGGAGGAAUCAUUAUUUUCCGCGUAAUAAGGAGGCACUUACUUGCUGCGGCCGUGGACCCAGCUGUCAGCCUCUCCACGUACAGUCCACGUCCGAUGGAAGUCGUUCCUUGACCACGUUGACCAUGCCGCGCCGAGAGCACCAGGGCGUUGGACAACGACGAGGCCUAGGAAGGGGACGACGCGGAGCCGGGGAAGACGCGGCAGUGGAUGCCCACGCGUAGAGGAGUAUGAGGGUUCACUGGUUCGCUGCGGUGUGAGGCUGCCGUCGCCGCAGAAUAACAGGGGGUGUGGUGAGUAGAGGGAUGGCCUGGCCAGCGGUGGGAGUAGUAGGGGGCGGUGAGGCCUCCGCUGCCGGCCACGGGAGGCAAGAGCAUGAGGCACUACCGGCGCCGGUUUGGGCGGCUGGAGCAAAAAGACCAGAGGUUGAAGAAGCACUACGGCCGUUGGAUGGACAUCGUAUGGUCACUGGAGCUAGAAUCGUGCAUAUUGACUAAGUUGACAAAGCCCUCCAUCCCCGUCAACUUAGUAGGCCCACAAGUCAGCCUCCCACUAUACUGGGUCCCAGCUAGUAGGGGGAGUAUUCAUUUUUUUUGUGCGUAAUAAGGAGGCACUUCCUUGCGUGCGAAGAUAUAGUUGGUGGGUCCGAGCUGUCAGCGGCGGUAACGUUUUUUCACGAAAUACAGAGGCCCUUUCGGUGGGUCCCGGAUGUCAGUGGAGGAAUCAUUAUUUUGCGCGUAAUAAGGAGGCAUUUCUUUGCGUGCGGCCGUGGACCCAGCUGUCAGCCUCUCCACGUACAGUCCACUUCAGAUGCCUGUCGGUCGUUGACCAGGCCGCGCCGAGAGCACCAGGCUGGUGGACAACGGCGAGGCCUAGGAAGGGAACGACACGGAGCCAGGGAAGACUCGGCAGUUGUUUCCCACGCAGAGGGGAGUACGACUGUACGAGGGUUUACUGGUUCGUCUGCCGUCACCGGAGAAUAACAGCAGGUGUGGGUGAGUAGAGGGAUGGCUAGGCCAGCGAUGGGAGUACGGUGGGGCGGUGAGGCCUGCGCGGCAGCACAGCCGGCCGCAGGGAGGAGGGAGCAGGCAGUCCCGCCGGCGCUCGUUUGAGCGGCUGGAGCAGUAAGAGCAGAGAUUGAAGAAGCACGACGGCCGUUGGAUGGACAUCCAACAGUCACUGCUUGUGCGUCAACCUUUUUUUAGGAAAGCCUCAAAUAUGUGGAAAACAGCAUACAGCCCAUCUGCCAUUAUUUCUAAUAAUUUACAGCCCAUUUGCUAAUUCUUAAGGUUUUUUAGCCCAUAUUCUUUUUGUUAGCAUAACAGCCUGGCUACGGUUAAAAAAUUAUACGAAUUUUUGCAUAUUUCGGUGCGGUCCGAACUGGUUUUAAUCCCGAAAUUUUGAGUCACAUUCAACUGAUUUUAAAAAUAAAUGUAUAGCAAUAUAAAAUCCAACAAAUUGUCCACGCAUAAAAAUCAAUGCAAUUUAAAAUCUCGAAAUGAAAAAAAGAAAUUUGAAACUAAUUGCCGGUUUGAUGUGUUUAGAAAUAUACAGCCCAUUUCUCAUUACUGAUAGGCCAUUUUCUCGGCCAUCUGAAUGAAGCUCUCCUCGUCUUGAAAGAUUUGCAGCCCAACAGGCCUGACAAAGCGACUUACUUGGCAAAUCACAAAAAAGUUGGGCUAGCCAUUUUCAGAAAGAAAAAAAACUACUGGGCUGGUCUGUGGUAAACAUAAAAGAGAAGGUUGUCUAGACAGGCCAGAGUGCUCCGCACAGCCCAGUUGACACCCUGCUUCCGUCUCAAAAACAAAUUAGAUAAAUGCCACUCCAAUUAUGGUGAUUCAUAAAAAUGCCACUACAAUUUCCAAACUUUGAAAAAUGCCAUUGCAAUUUUGCAAACUUUGGAAAACGCCACUGCAAUUUGCAAACUUUGAAAAAUGCCACUCCAGACUUCGAAAAAUGCCACUGGAAAUGGCAUGAAAUGGCAUUUUUCAAAGUUUGGAAAUUGCAGUAGCAUUUCUCGGAAACACCAGAUUUGGAGUGGCAUUUAUCAAAUUAACCCAAAACAAAAAUAACUGGGCGAGCUGCUGGGUCCCUGCUGUCAGCCGCUCGUUGUGCAAUUCUCUCGUUUAUUGACUACGUUGACAAUGGCAUGGGACCCAGAUGUCAGAAAUCUAUUAGGAGGUGCCAUUUUUUAUUAGCUUGAAAUAAGGAGGCACUUGCUUGCGUACUGCCAUGACCUUGGCGAGUCCCUGCUGUCAUCCUCUCCACGUAUAAUCAUCUCCUGAUUGUGUACGCGUCAACUUGGUAGGCGCACAAGUCAGCCUCUAAACCCGUGGAGGACAAAUACAACCCAUUUAAAAAAAU